UUGGAGAGAUUUUUGCAUUGUUGUUCCUGGAAGUGAAAUCCCAGAGUGGUUCGAGUAUCAGAAUAAUGAGGGUUCUUCAAUAACAAUAAGCACGCCUCCAAAGACGUAUAAGAAUAGUAAGCUUGUGGGAUAUGCUGCGUGCUGUGUUUUUCGUAUCCCUAAAUAUUCACUUCCAUAUCCCGAACAUGAUCUGUGUGUCUGGUCUACCGACGGGUAUGGACCGUAUGGUUAUCGAAUUUCGUUUGGAAAGCAAUUCGGUCAGGCUGUGUCAGACCAUCUUUUCCUAUGCUACAAGAAUAGGGAAGAUAUUAGUGAAGUGGAAUUUUCUUCGCGGUCGGGAUUGGAGUUGAAGAGGUGCGGUUUGCAUCCAAUAUAUGUGCAUCAAGGGGAUAAGUUCAACCAAACAAGUGAUCCGGUUUGGAAUUUGAACGAAUUCGGUCACGAUUGUUUAGGUUCAACAUCCUUUAUGCGUAGCCUUAAUGAUGACUUAGACAGGGCAGAAGGCAGUGGAAGUUGCUGCGGGGAUGAUGCAGGAGGAACGACGUCGUCUGAGCGAAGCUUUCUAAAGCGAAGUCUUGAAGGAUAUGUUGGGGCGGCUGAAGCUAGUGGAAGUGGCUGCUGUAAUGAUGAGGAGGAACCACAACCUAAAAGAUUUAGACAACUCGAAUGAAGGGCACAUAAUUUAUUUUUCUCUGCAGAUCGCAUUUCAUUUACUUUCUUUGUAUUUAUUUAUUGUAUCUGUUCUUGUUACUUAUUUCCCUGUUAAAUUACCAGAAAAUGCCUGGCUUGGGUCAAACAGUUGGACAGAUGUUUUAUUACUCUGUUUUUUCUGCUUUGCUUUAUUACUCUGUUUUUCCUGCAAAAGAUGUCGUACAUAGAUGCGGUGAGCGCGAGUUGUUUGGUAUACUUGAAGGGGCUCGCUCGGGACCACAAUGACUAAUUAUUUAAUGUUGUGUGUUAAAUAUUAAAAUAUGCGGAUAGCUUAUUGCUUUUGAGACCUAAGAGUCAUUGAUACUCUGUUUUUUCAACCUAAAAGUAUUUAUUUAAUCUUAGGGUGAUUGAAAACAAAUUGACGAAUUACCAUUAAACAAGCAACAAAAUAACAAAUUCUUUGAAAAGAAAGUAUAUAAUAGAAAGAAGAAAUUAUCACAUAAAAAAAAAAUGUUCCAGUUUUUGCCUUUAGCCUCUCCUCCCCAAGUUGUCGGGCAUGGACUUGCUUUCGCUUCCGAAAGGAAAAAAUAAAAUAAACAUAUGUAUAUUAACAUAAUUUUAAUCUUCAAAAAAUAUUUUAAUACUUUACAGUAUUAUAUUAUAUUAAACUAAAUUUUAUAAUGGAUAUAAACAUAAUAUUAAAAUAAAUAUAUAAAGAUUCAAUUAUUUUAAAUUUAUAUAAAAUAAUUUUAAUAUUAUCAAUACAUGAGAUAUUUUUUAUUAGUUGUAAAAUCUAUUUAACCCAAAUAUUUAUUUAAAAAUUUAAUAUUAACCAUUAGAUUGUGAAAGAUUAAUGGCUCAUUUUUUGUGUCAAAAUUUAAGUUAAAAUAUCCAAAACCAUGCUUUCAUAACGAGAAUAUAAAAUAAAUAGAUAAUAUUUCAUGAAUAUUAUUGGAGGUAAUAUUUACUUAUUAUAUUAAUUACCAUCAUAAAUGCAAUCAGCCUCUUGGUGACAUAAAAUUUUGUAACCACAAUCAAUUAAUAUCAACAAAACAAUCUUUCAUGAUUCAUAAACUAUAUAGCUAAUUAAGAAUUUAUGUUAAUUUCAACUUUACGAAAUCAACAAAGUGAUAUUGGAAAAUUAAAUGAAAAUAGGCUUGUAAAACUUAAACUUAUAUUCCUACCAUAUAAAAGUAUUCACUGUAACAUAAUCCAUAAUUUCAUGGUAUAGGUUGUGCUAAAUUGAUGUGAAAAAUAAUAUACACUUCAUGAUUAAUCAUCCAAUGAUCCUUAAUAAUAUACAAAAUAGUGAGCAUUAUGUUAAAUUUUAUUAAAGCAUGACAAAUGUGAAGAAUGACAGGGGCAGCAGCUGCAGACGGUGGACGUGAGGUGGCUUCGGGUUUUGCUAUUUUUCUAACUUUUUCUUCUUUUUUUUUUUUAUGAAAGUAAUGGAUGGUGGAGGGAGGAUUUGUGUAUGGGGAAUGGUUGAUGGUCAGGAAAGCUCUGCCUAAUACAAAGAAAGACUCUGAUACCACUUGACGCAUCGCAGAAGCGAUACUAAAUUUCAUUAUAACAUACGUUCUUGAAAAUUCAAGAAAAAAGGCUCUUACGAAGAAGAAAGUAUCUCAAUUAAGAAAUAUUAAAUAUUAUUGAUGAGAAGCUUAUGUAUGUUAUAAAGAACUAUCAGUAAGAAGCCUAUAUAUACUAAGUAGCCAACUUAAUCUUAAUCCUUCUUAAAUAAAAUAAAUAAUUUAAAAUCCUAAUUAGAUUAGAAUUCCAAACAUGAUCGAAUAAGUUUAAAAAAUAAGAUAAAUUCUAAUAAAAUACUAAAUACCCAAAUAUUAUAAUUCCUAAUAAAUUCUAAUUUAUUUUAUCUAAUAUGCUUCCUACAUUACUUUAUCGCUAUAUUGUCUGAAUCGAUGUCUCUUUUUACACUAGUAAAAAAAUGACCUUCUUUGAUACUAUUUUAGUAUCAAGAACUUGUUUUACUGACACCGAAUUCAGUGACACACCGAAUUUAGUGUCACUGAAUACGGUGCAAGAAACUUACUGACACAAGUUUUUUGUAUCAGCGAAUCUAUGUCACCGUAGUAUCAAAAAAAUAUUGAUGCUUGAACAUCACAUAUAUAACGAGACUAUGUUAUCAAACAAAUAAUGAUACAAAAGCAUAAUAAAUAUAACGAUACUUUGGUAUCAAUGUUUAUUUGAGAAAAAUUAAAAAAAAAAUUAGAAAUCCAUAUAAUAGAAAUUGAACAUUUGCAAUUGGCAUUUGAAUUGAAAUUUACAUUCAUCAAUAUGAAAGCUAUUACAUUGCAAUGAACAAUUUAAAAAUUAUUACAUUGUUUGAAACUUAUUACAUUGUUUACCAACUACAAAUAAUUUAUAAUCUGAUAUAUAGUAACAGCACAAUCUUCCAACACAUGUUUAUUGCUUCGCGGAUUCUUUCUUUCGGUAAUCGAAAUGAAGUCUUCUAUUAUUGUUUCCAUGUUCCAAUUUGACAUUUGCUCUGAUUAUUUAGUUUUGACCCACAUACAUGCUUUGGUUUAUUGUAAGUCAUCCGGCACCAUUCAAGACAUGCACAAUAAAAAAACUGAUAAAAUUUACAUGCUGCAAUCUACAUAGUUUCCUAAUGGCAUAUAAAUGCAUGCAAGACAAGCAUAUUAUAUUAACAAUAAAAAUUAUUUAACCGUUGUCCAAGAAAAAGAGGAGAAAUUAUUAACAACAUCAUGAGAGGAAGUCUAACAAUACAGUCAAACAAACAAAAGAAAACCCAUGCUUGGUUGUAUAACGAGCAUGGAAAGUUCAACACAAACACAAACACAAACACAGAGACCAAUGGAGUUAACCAAAGUAAUGAAGGAAUUUCUGUGCAACUGUCAGUGGACACACAGAGCAAUGGAGUUAACCAAAGUAGAGCAAUGGAGUUAACCAAAGUAAUGAAGGAAUUUCUGUGCAACUGUCAGUGGACACACAGAGCAAUGUGUGCAUAUGAGCAGGCACAAACAUGACAUCCAAGUGAAUAAAUUUAAAAUAUUAUAUCUGGCAAUUAAAUCAACACAAACAUGAGAAAGAAUAGAUCCAAUAAGGUAAAUCUAGACAACAAUGAUCAAAAAGCAACAAGACAAAAUUUGAGAAACAAAAGGUGAAAAUAAAAAUACCAGGCAUUUACUCCAGUAGCACCAUGGAUCAUAAAAAUUGACAGCUAAAAUAGGAUACCUGGAAAGGAAAUAUAAUACAAAUCAAAGAAGGCAUCAUUGCAAUUGCCACAUAGCAGAGAAAUAUUGUGAUCACAGAAUUGAAAAUAAAAAUUAUAAGUUGUGGUUCAGAGAAGGCUCACUUACUCGUGUGAAUAACUAUCAAAAUUAUUGGCAGUUAGCGUAUGAGAACCUUCAACAGAAUCAUCAUCAGCUUCCUCUCCAUGCUUAAGCGAAUGUAUAACAAGCAUUGAGUGGAAUUCAGAACCAGUGGGUCUUAAAUCAGGUCCUAUAGAAAAAUUGCGAAUAGUUUUUGUUAAAUUUAAUCUGUUCUAGAAACAAUGAAAAGCCAAAUAGAACUCCAUGAAAGCAUCAUGUUACACAAACAAUCCAGGUGGACGAUAAUAUACACUGAAUAUGCAAAAUGCACCCAUGAUAUCCAACAAAAGAGGCACAACUAUGUAAGCGGCAACCUACCAUUCCAAAUAAAAACAACAUAGAAAGGGCUGCUAUUAUGGAUAAUCCUGCACCAGAUAGUGAUGCCUCUGUCAAAUCCCUUGGAAUUUUCCUGCAAACAGAAAAGAAAUAAGUAACAAUAUAAACCCUGUGAUUUUAUCUAUGUGAUUUACUAAUACAAAGAUACGGGUUGGAUUUAUAAAUUACAUAGAAUCACCAACUUUCAAGUAUAAUGAGAUGGACGAAUUAUAAACAUUAUCAAACAAGUAAAAGCGAGUCGCUAACAAAGAGCAAUCAAAAUCCACUGUCACAAAUAGCAACAUGAAAGUGCAUAGUUUCAAAGCUUCGGAGUUUGUUCAAAAUUAUAAUAUUUUUAAUUCACAUACUAUUAUACUAAUAAAAGCUCGAACAUAUUUGUUGUCCCUACAGUCAAAUAUUUAAUUUCAUAUUCUUCUUAAAAUGCAUCAAAAUCCAUACAUUGUAAGUAUAAUGAAGAACAUAACUAUUAGUAUUAGAAUUUCUUAAGCAUUCAGCUGAUUCACUAAUAAUAAUAAUAAUAAAGCCUAUACAUAUAGAAGAAUACAAUCAUCAUACAGCCAAAAUCAGUGCAUUACAAGUAAUAAGUUAUAAAAGGCACAAUUACCUCUUUAGUUGCAGAUGAGUAGUUUCUCAAAGUGGAUACCACAGGGCGAAGUCUCUGGAUUAGAAACGCGUUCACAAGGAACAAUAGUCAGCAGUAAAAAAAAAAAAGGGCCAAAAUGAAUACUAUUUAGGCAUACUGAAAUAGAACCUCCUCCUGCAGCCACUUUCUACCUAAUAAACAUUAGCAAACAGAUAAAAGCGAGUCGCUAACAAAGAGCAAUCAAAAUCCACUGUCACGAAUAGCAACAUGAAAGUGCAUAGUUUCAAAGCUUCGGAGUUUGUUCAAAUUAUAAUAUUUUUAAUUCACAUACUAUUAUACUAAUAAAAGCUCGAACAUAUUUGUUGUCCCUACAGUCAAAUAUUUAAUUUCAUAUUCUUCUUAAACUGCAUCAAAAUCCAUACAUUGUAAGUAUAAUGAAGAACAUAACUAUUAGUAUUAGAAUUUCUUAAGCAUUCAGCUGAUUCACUAAUAAUAAUAAUAAAAGCCUAUACAUAUAGAAGAAUACAAUCAUCAUACAGCCAAAAUCAGUGCAUUACAAGUAAUAAGUUAUAAAAGGCACAAUUACCUUCUUAGUUGCAGAUUAGUUUCUCAAAGUGGAUACAACAGGGCGAAGUCUCUGGAUUAGAAACGCAUUCACAAGGAACAAUAGUCAGCAGUAAAAAAAAAAGGGGCAAAAUGAACACUAUUUAGGCAUACUGAAAUAGAAGAACCUCCUCCUGCAGCCACUUUCUACCUAAUAAUUCCCCAUAUCUUUAAUUGUUUCAAUUAAAAUACUGCCCUACUCACCAUAUAAACCGCCAAUAACAACACUAUAAAUAACACAAUCAGCAAACAGCCAAAAAAAAAAGGAUACAUAAUCAUAUCCUAUUUAAGUGAAUGUAAAUCGAAGUCUAUAAUUAGUUAGUAGACAAUAACAUCGUGUUUACGAUAUGCGAAUCAAAACAAAUAUUACAUAUAAUUAUUUUAAAAAAAAUUACUAACCGGCUUAUCUCAAGCAGACAUGUAAUAAAUCAUGCUUUCCAUCAAAUCAAGCAAAAUUUAUCAAAAUUAAUCAAACUACAGCUAUAGAAACAAUAAAAUCACAUUCGAAAUUAAGAGAAAAUUAGAAAAUUUUCAAAAAGAGAAAGAAAAUCGAUGAAAGAAAUAGAGCAAACACUAACAUUUGUUUCUCUGGUGUCCGCGUGUUUCAACACCUCGAACAGGGAGUUCUCAUAUAGAUUUGUGAAGCUAGUUUCUUUGACUUGCUCUUCCUCUUUCUUAUUCCUCCUCAUCUUGUUUGACUUUUUUCAUCCUUUGGUUGUCUUCGGUGGUGACCGAAGAAUCAAGACCCAUACGCUUCAUAAAGUAAAACUAGGAUGAUUUUAUUUUGUUGGGAGACUGAGAGUAAUUGUUUUGUUAAGACUGAAAAGGCUGGGUGAUUAGUUUUGUUUCAAUUUAGGGUUUCUUCAAAUGAGUGGGAAGGAUUUGGGAGAGAGGGAAGAUGAAGAGGGAAUAGUACUUUCGUCAAGGCCAAAAAAUUUCACGAGUGCUGAAUUUUAGACACCCUAAUUUUAAAAGUAAAACUACGUCGUUUGGAAUAAAAAAAAUUAAAAUUAAAAUUAAAAAUAUAUAUCUUAGUAUGAAUAAGAGUUUAUGAUACUAUAUUAUUAAUAACCACUGGCACUAAUACGUAAAACACACUAAAAGUUGCUUAGGUCAUCAAAUACUGAUAUUUUUUUAUUUAAAAUCAGCAACUUAAUAUCAGUGAAAGUCAUUUUUUUAGUAGUGUUAUUAAAAAAAAAACAUUUUCUCAUCAUCCAUUACUAAGGCCCCACUCAAUUGCUUGUCAAUUACUUCUUGAUCAACAAGUAAAUUUUUAAAAUUCUCAAUGGUUGGUUGAGUUGGACAACCUUAGAUAGUUGUAAAAAAGCUCUUAAGCUCAAGCCUCAAACCAUUGACAAUAAUUCUCUUUAUUCUAAAUUUAGAAAUUACAGUAGUAGAAUCUAACCCAGAAAUUUCAUGGCAUAGGGAUUUUAACUUGUUUAAGUACUCGUCAAUCGUCAUGUUUCAUUAUGAAAUUGAUAGUAGCUCAUUUUUCAAAAGUUGUAGCCAUAUGUUAUUCUUCUUUGAAAACUCAUUGUAGAAGUAUCCCAAUUUUUCUUAGGUAUUUUAACCUUUUUUAUGUGUUGUAGCAUUUCUUUUUCAAUUGUAGUCUUGAUGGCGAACAUGGCCUUCCAGCUAUAAUGCUUCACUUCUUUAAAGCGGCAUCCUCAGUUAGUGGUCUCAUAUUGUUACCACAAACAAUCUCCUAGAGAUCUUGACCCUGUAAGCAAGACUCCAUCAAUGUUGUCCACAUAUUGUAAUUUUCCUUGUCGAGCUUUUUAACUCUUCCAACUACUUGAAGGUCACCCGUCAUAUUUUCAAGACUUUAACAAUGCCAAGCAAGCUUGAUGUUCACUAACGAACUUGCAAAGUUCCAAACAAAGUACUCUAAUAAAGUACUCCACUUCAAAUUUGAACCCAACAGCCUUUUACUCAAUAGAUUUUGACAAGUUCAUUCAUUUAGAUUAAGAGAAAAGAAUUGAUGGUAUUGUGCCACAGGGAGGAAUCGGUUCCAAAGUCUUUUUUCCACGAUCCAAUCCCUAAGAUCAGGCAACAUAUCCUUCACCGAAAAAACAUAAUGAUCAUAUAUAAUGCCUAUUGGAAUAUGCCUCCACAUUAGCUUCGUUUUCGUUUUCAAUCUAUCAUGCAUUAGUAGCCAAAGAAAAGUACAAAUGCAUUGUGGACUGUGUCAUUGCCAAAUAUGGUAGUUUUCAGGUCUAAAAUUUUAAAGUGCGGGAAAGUCUGGGAACACUUUAAAACCAUGCGGUGGACUGUAAUAAAUAGAUAAUAUUUUUUCCAUUCAUUCCCAUGAAAAGUACAAAUGCUUUGUGGACUGUAAUCAUAAAUUAUGUAACUUCUCAGGGGUGUCUUCUGGCCAAGAUCAGAGGUGAGAGGUGUGAUAUCCACCCAGUUUAUAUGGAGGAGUUUGACAAAACUACAAUCCAAUGGAAUCACUUUACCACUUAUAAUAUGAAUGGAUCCCCUCAAAUUUUUUUUGCAUCAAAGAUGGUUGUAGCAACAAUGUCAAGGCGAAACCUUACUGCAUAUGUUGAGGUGAUGAGGAACCACAACCUCAAGGAUCCAUUUAGUGAACUCAAAUAAAGGGAGAAGCCUGCUUAGUAUUCUUUGAAUAUUUCAGUAAGCAUGCAUCUUCAAUUUCAGUUGGCAAUUUUUAUUUUAUAUAUGUUAAAUUACCACAAAACCAAAAUAUCAUCUCUAAAGUUGUUACCUUCCAUGAAUCGAAAAUGCUUUCAUGCUUGAUCAGAUUGUUUAAGUAUGCGUUCCUAAAAUAUACAAAAGUGCUCAGGAAAAUGGCACGGAAUAAUUAGUGUAUAAUAAAUUUUAUUUUUGGUAAUUUUUUAGAUGCAUAUGGUUUUAAAGUUCUCUUCAAAUAGCUGGACUUGCCAUAUACUAUAAUAUUGUUUAGUAAGGCAUUACUAUCAUAUCAUAUAUUUUGUUUAUCUAUCAUUAAUAUUUACAUUUUUAUUAUUUCAUUAAUCUUAUUUUAAUUUACUUUGUAUUCAUAGACAUAAUUUAAGAAUAUAAUAUUAUUGUUCUUAUGUUUCCGUUUUCGUAUAUAAAUUCCUGGAAGAUGCUCCAACAUCAAUUUUGUCGUUAUUGAAUAAACAAAAAAAAAAAAAAAGAUACAACAACUGAUGCUCUCAUUCACAAAGAACUAGAUAAUGUUCAGGCAUUAGAUGACUCCAGACAGCUGCAAGCUAUGAAAGAAGAAUAUGAUGUUUUGAUUAAGAAUAAUACAUGGACAUUAGUUCCAAGACAAGCUGUCAUCACGUUGCUGACAAUAAAUGGGUGUGAAGGAUCAAGUAUAACAAAGAUGGAAGUGUAGCUAAGUAUAAAUCCAAGCUUAUUGCAAAAGGAUUUUAGCAAGUGGCAGGGGUGAAUUACUUUAAAACAUUCAGUCAAGUGGUUAAAUUAGCUAUUAUUAGAGUGGUGUUGAGCCUAGGAGUGAUGAACUAAUGGAAAAUAAGACAAGUUAAUGUUAACAAUGCCUUUUUUAAUGGAGAGUUAAAUGAGGAGGUAUUCAUGUGUCAGCCGGAAAGGCUUUAUUAAUGUUGAGAAACUUGAAUUUGUGUGCAAAUUGUACAAAUGUCUAUAUAGACUCAAACAAGUUCCUAGAGCUUAAUUUGAUAAGCUAAAAAGUUGUUAAUUGCAUUAGGGUUUUAUUAAUACUAAUUUGGAUACCUCUCUUUUCAUAAGAAGAAACACUCAUUACAAGUCCAAGUACUAUAAAGUUAAAAAGUUUUAUAACUCAGUUUAGGAAAGCAUUUGCCUUAAAAGACUUAGGAAUAUUAUCUUAUUUCCUUGGAAUUAAAGUGUUGCAAGACGCACAUUGUGUAUAUUUAUCACAAAGAAAAUACAUAAGAGAUCUGUUGUCUAUAGUUGAAAUGGUUGAAUGCAAAGGCAUUGACACACUUAUGGUGUCAAUGCCUAUGUUGGCAUUGACACCCCAACAUAGGCAUUAAACCAACAUCAUAUAAAUUAGCAUUAAGUUCGAUCAAAUUCAUAUUGUCUUCAAUAAGAUUUGAAAGUAAGUGAAGUUUAACACACCAAUAGUUUUGGUGAUCUGUCUGAAACGUAAUAGACAACACCACUUAUUGGAUUUUAUUUCCUAAAAUACUUAUUGUUUAAUUUAUAAAAUAUAAACUCAUUUAUUAAAAUUAAAUAUCUUCUCAUAAAUAUAGAUAUAAAUUAUGAAAUGAUGUGGGUGUAAAUUAUUUAUUAAAACCUUAAUUUAUUUAAGUGUUUAAUUGAAAUCCCAUUUAAAAUUUUUUAAAAAUUAUUUAUUUAUAGUUAUUCAAGUAGUUUUAAUAGAAAAUGAAUUUUAUAAGAAAUUUUAAGGGAUGUCGAAAGGCUACUCUUGAAAUAAAUGACCCAAGUCCAUUUGGGCCCAUGUAUAAGGAACGAGGUCUCAGUUUAAAGGCCGGAUCGGGGUCGAGCCUCAACUCACGCUUACAUAAAAAGGAAUGAGAAAAAAUUAAAAAUAUAAAUGGAUUUCUCUAUGAUGCUGUAAUUUUUUUAUAGCAUCAAUAAUGUUUUAAUUGUGUACCAUUGGAUUAAAUCUAAUGGUAUACAAUAUUUGUACUAAAGAAAAAAAAUUAAAAAUAAUAGUAAACAGAUUGUUAACCGUUCAAGGGGUGGAUAAAUUUUGUAAAAUAAUUGUGAUCACCCUUAGAGUUUGAAGCAAUUUAACUUAAAUAGCAUAUUUUAUUUAAAAUUACUUUUCUACUCUCCUUUAAAUUUGUAUUGUGAUAAUCUUUUUUAAAAUAAAUCUUCCAAAAUCUAUUAUCAUUAAGUAUAAAAUAUAAUAUGAAGUAGGUUAUUUAACACAAAUCAAAUAAAUAAGUUGCAAUUGUAAAAUUAAUUAUAUAUAAUAUAACACUAGUAAAUAAUACAACUAAAUAAAUAUAUUUAAGUAAAUGUCAUAGGUACAUCAAUAAACUCACUGGUGAGAUUGCUUGUAAUCUAAAAAAGACUUAAUCACACAUAUUUUAAUAAAAUUUAAUAUCUUAUAUCAAAAUAUUCAUUAUUUUAUAUAAUUUUAAGGACCGUUGUAUAAUUGAUUAUGAAGUAUAUAUUAUUUUUAACACUUGUUUAACAUACCUAUUCUCUCAUCUUUUUGUUUAGGAUUUCUCUAUAAUAUUGUAUGAGUUUUUACAGCAUUGAUAAUAGGAUUGUUGUGGACUCUUAGAUGUUAGGGUUUUCAUGUUUAGUAUUCAUUUGAUAUAGUGAAUAAAAAAUUAGCUAUUUAAAUCAUAACAAGUAAUCUUCAUGCUGCAAGUAAAUAUAGAUUUUUUUAUUUUUAAUUAAUUGAUAAAAGAAAAUUUAUAUUAUGAUGGAUAAAAAUCCCAGAAUCAAUAAUGGGAUCAUUGGAUUUAAUAUUAGAAUCUUCACCCUUAAUUUAAUUUUAAUGGAUAAGUAAUUAUGUAACAAGUAAUAUGCAAGUUGUGAUAUUUCUUCAUAUUUUAAAUUAUUUUUUAUCUAAUCAAUCAAUAAAUAUUUUAAAUCAUUAAAAAAAGGAAAGAAAUACAAAUAAUUUUGGAAUUAAAAUUAUUAUAUAUUAAUCCUCUUACUUUACAAUUUUACAUUUUUAUUUUACUUUUACAUUUAGUAUUAGAAAUAUAUUUAAUAGCAUUAAAAUAAAUGUAAUUAACAAGUAAUGGUAUUUCAAUAAUACUUUAUAUAAAGUUAUUACAUAAAGUCUUAUAAUAAUUUGUAUUGUGUGAAUUUAAUUACAAACCAUUAAUACCUAAACAAUAAUGAUAAUAGAAGGCAUUGUAAUAAAAUAUUUUAUAUAUGUUUUAUUAGUAAUACUAUGAGUCACAACAAAUGAGAAAUAUUUUAUUCACCAAUGAAAAAAAAAUAUAUGGCUAUAUAAAUAUAUAGUGAGAAAUAUUUUGAUUUAAUUUUUUAACAAAAAAUUAAACUAUUAAUUUCAUGCAAUUCAAUGGUGGAGGAUAUGCCAAUAUGAAAUGCUGCUUUGAUAUGACAAUAUGAAAUGUUGCUUUGGCUUUUAAUAUUAACCAUUACACUAUAAGAAUAAGAUAUUAAUGGCUAAAAUAUUAUGUAAAAAUUUUAAGUUCAAGUAUCCCAAACCAUGUCUUUAUAAUGGAAAUAUAAAAACAUGCAAUGAAUUUUUUUCUCAUUUUGUCAUUAAAUAUUAUUGGAUGCAAUAUUUUAUUUAUUGUACUAUUACUUAUCAUAAUAAAAGUAAUGACUCUUAGUAACAUAAAAAUUUUAUAAUUACAAUCAAAGGAUGUCAAUAAAAUAAUCUUUCAUGAUUCAUAAACUAAAACUCAUUAGGAAUAUGUGUUAGAUUAAACUUUUAUGAAAUUAACAAAGUGACAUUUGAAAAUAAAAUGAAAAUAAGCUUGUGAAAGUUAAAUUUUAUAAAGCUUGAAUAAUUUUCUACCAUGUAAAUAAAAAUAUAAAAAUAAUCUUUCAUGAUUUUUUCCCUUUUUUCCACAUAAAUAUUAUUGGAGACAAUAUUUUAUUCAUUGUCACUAGUAAUUACCAUAAUAAAAGUAAUGGCUCUCAGUAACAUAAAAUUUUAUAAUUACAAUCAAAGGAUGUCAAUAAAAUAAUCUUUCAUGAUUCAUAAAAUAAAGUUAAUUAGGAAUAUAUAUUAGAUUUAACUUUUAUGAAAUUAACAAAGUGAUAUUUGAAAAUAAAAUGAAAAUAUAUAGGCUUGUAAAACUUAAAAUUUCUAUCAUGUAAGAAUAUUAAUUAUAAGAUAAACAAAAAUAAUAUAUAUUUUAUAAUCAAUUAUACAAUAGUCUUAGUAUUAUAUAAAAUAAUGAACAUUUUAAUUUGCGAUUUUAAAUUUUAUUAAAACAUGAGUGAUUAAGUAGUUUUUAAGUUACAAUCAAUCUCACCAAUUAGUUUAUUAAUGUAACUAUGACGUUUACUUAAGUAUAUGUACUUAGUUGUGUUAUUUAUUAGUAUUAUAUCAUAUAUAAAUUUUGUAAUUGCAAUUUAUUUAUUUGAUUUGUGUUAAAUAACAUACUUCAUAUUUAUUUUAUACUUAAUGGUAAUAGAUUUUGGAAGAUUUAUUUAGAAAAGAUUAUCACAAUACAAAUUUAAAGGAGAGUUGAAAAGUAAUUUUAAAUAAAAUAUGUUAUUUAAGUGAAAUUGCUUCAAACUCUAAGGGUGGUCAAUGUGAUUUUACAAAAAUUUCUCCACUCUUAAACCGUUAACAAACUGUUUACCAUUGUUUUUAUUAUUUUUUUUCUUUAGCAAAAAUAUUAUAUACCAUUAGAUUUAAUCCAAUGGUACACAAUUAAAACAUUAUUGAUGUUGUAAAAAAAAUUACAGCAUCAUAGAGGGACCUAAUAUAAAUACAUACAUAAAAUUAGUUAAAUCAUUAAUGCAUAUAUUAAAAUUAAAAAUCUGCUUACGUUUAUAGUCAAAAAUCGCUGAAGGUUCUUUGCAUGUUUUCGCUUGUGGGGCUGUGGUCAGAAACUGUGAGGGAGAAUUUCUGGGGGAUUUCUCAUGUCCAUUACAUGUUGAAACUGCUUUUGUUGCUGAACUGUUGGCUGUUAUCUUGGCGAUUGAGCAUACUUCUUUUGGAUGUUGGACUAUGCCGUGGAUCAAAUGUGAAUAUGCUUUAACUGUGCUUCAUCUUCGUAAAAAGCGGCUUCCGCCCAUGGUUUCUCAUUCAUCGAUGGAAUAAUUGUAUUGCUCUUAUGGAUUCCAUGACGUUGCACUUUUCUCGUGUCUUCAGGGAGGCUGAUGGGGUAGCUGGUUGUUUGAGCAAUUUAGGUGCCAUGGUGGAUUCCUUUACUUGGUGGGACUCUGCACCCCUCAUGUUGCUUCUCUUUUGCAUGAGGAUGCUUUUAGGCUGCCUAGCUAUCUGUUCAGCUAGCUUUUGUAAUUUUAGUUUGGCUGGUUUUCUUGCUAUAUUUUUAUUUUAUUUUAAUAAAACCUCCUCACUUUGGUGAGGAUUCAUCAAAAAACAAAAGGAAAAAAAGUUAGAACAACCUAGAUCAAGUAAAUUAUAUCGCAGGGAUUUUCGAAGAAAUUCAAGCAUUGGAAGGAUGAAAAACAAAUAUGUAGAUGAUCGAUCUCACCUUAUAUGGAAUUGCAGGCCAAGUUCAAGGAAGGAAUUUUUGAGAAAUUAUGUUCGAUAAAAUGCCCAAGAAGGAAUGCAUCCCACCUGAUGCGUUGAACAAUGAGACGAUACAUCUGUUGCUACAAUUUAUUCACAUAAGAAAUUCAAUUAAAGCAUUUGAAUGGGAAAAUUUUUUUUUCUCUUGUUGCCAGGAACCAAAACUGUUGCCACUUUACUGGUAUACUCCGGGUGUUUUCCGCUGUUUCAAUUUACUUGCUGGUAUUUUAUUUUCGUUUGCUGAAGUAUGAUUAUUUAACAGCCAGUUACUUAUUACAAUAAGAGGCUGUGGAGUCAAUUGCUUGCAUCAUGAGCAUCCCGGGAACUACGAUGUCUGCUUGAGCUUUAGAGGUGAAGACAAGACACCCGCACUGCAAGAACUUUUCAGAUCACCUCUAGUCCACUUUGAAUAAAAUUGGAAUUAAUGUAUUUAGUGAUGAAAAAGAACGUGAAAGGGGAAUAUCCAUUUCACCAGCACCGUCUAAAGUAAUUGAAGAAUCAAGAAUUUCAGUUAUUGUCUUCUUAAGAAACUGCGCUUCUUCAACUUGGUGCUUGGAUGAACUUGUUAAGACUAUUGAAUGGAAGAACACGUCAUGUUCGCCAACAAUUGGUUUUUCCAAUUUUCUAUGAUGUUGAACCAACAGUGGUAAGGAAACAUAUAGGAAGUUUUCAAGAAGCGAUUGCUAAUCAUGAAGAAGUUCUUAAAGGAGAAUAUAGAAAGGGUGCAAAAAUGGAGAGGCGCUCUGCAAGAGGUGGCUAAUAUCUUUGGCUAGGAAUUGAAAGAUAGGUAAUCAUUCUUAUUCUCAAUGAUUAAUUUUCUAAGAUGUGGAACAACUAAUUUUUGUUUGUUCUGCAUGAAUCAUAAUAAGUGAGAAGAUGUCUGGAUUUCUCCACUAUUAAAAAACUGCCAAUAUUUAUUCAGUAUAUUUAUUUACUAGUUUCAUGUUCAGUGUGUGCAUGCGCAUGUGUAUAUUUGUAUCAACAAUAAGAUUGCAACGACCAACUUGCCUACAAUUUUCCAAUAAACUUUACAUGACAAGAUUUUAUACUAUGUUGUUGGGUGAAUGAUGUGGUAGAGCAGAGGGAUUCUAGAACUUAUCAAGUUUUUAGGCAUUCGAACAGGGAGAGACAGUAGAAUAAAUGUAUAAGAAUUUGUUAAAAUCAUAGGAUUUAAUUGAAAUAAUAACUUGAUCAAUGAAUAUCUACAUACGAAGAGUUAUAGACGAAAUUAGAGAAGAGUUACAUGAAGAAUAACCUAGAGAUUAAUCAAACACAAGUUAUGACUUUAUCACUUCCGUUUUGUAUAUAUAUAUUAUGUAAUUUUUUGACACUACGUUACGCUCACACUAGCUUUAGCUCACCAACACAAAUAUUUUCUUGUUCUAUUCAACCCGCAUGAAUGAAUCAGACUUUAUUAUGGAGAUUUUCAAUGAGAUACCAAGCAAAAUUCCUUUAAAAUCAUAGACUCUUAAGGAGCUAGUAGGAAUGGAUUCACACUUGGAGAAGCUAACGAUUCUAAUGGAUAAAGGGCCUAAUGAUGUUCGUAUGAUAGGGAUCUGUGAUAUGGGAGGUAUAGGUAAGGCAGCUCUUGCAAAGGUUGUUUAUAACUUGAUCUAUCAUGAAUUUGAAGUAAGUAGUUUUCUUGCCAACGUUAGAUAAACCUCAGAAAAAGGAGGUCAGAUUUCCUAACAAAAUGGAAUUUAUAUAAUGUUAUCAACAUAAUUGGAAGUGGGUGCGACACAAAAAUGUUAGCUAGAAAGUUCAGGCAGCAGGAUCAUCAUAACAUCCAGAGAUAAACAUCGUUGACAACACAUAGAGUGGACGAAUUGUUGGUCCUUAAGCAACUAUACUAUGAUGAAGCUCUUGGACUCCUUUGUAUAAAAGCCAAUAAGCUAGGGAAAGGAUAUAAGUAACUGUCGAAAAGUGUUGUAAACCAAUAAGCUAAGUUGUAAGAACAUUAGCUGAACAACAGCAGCAAAUUGUGGAACGUAACAAAUGUACAUCACGUGUUGACAAAAAACACGGUAAGUGACAAAGUGCAAUGCAUGUGUUUUGAGUUCAUGAUUCUAAAACUCAAGAAAUGAAGUAUAAAAUUGCUAUCAUUAUAUAAUGCAAAGUAAAACAUAUUCUGUAAUGCAGCCUACAUUUUAUUCAUUUUUUUAUGAUACACGUACAAAAUGUUUUCCUUUGCCCAAGCUAUCAAUUGCACAAUGUAGGCUUUCAAGGAGAUCCUUUGGUCCACAUUUGGUUAAUUCAAUCUUUGAUCCGAAGGAAACGACUUUGUGCCCUGAGAAAGGUAAGUGACAAAAUGUUUUGCUCGACAUUCUAUGCUUUAAAUCUAUGCAUAAAUAAUUUUAUGGACAUCUUCACAUCUUAGUCUGCACUUAUCAUCUGCUUUUAUGAUUUUUAAGGAACUGAGUAGUCGAAUGCAUGGUAUGUGACUUUUCAGAACUUAAGGUUCAUUCUAUGGACAUCUUCACAUCCUUUUCAGAACUUAAGGUUAUUUUUUAUUAAAUCUCCAAAAACACUGGUACUUUCUGGUUGCUCAAAGUUGAAGAAAUUUCCAGAGAUUGUGGGAAAUAUGAAGUUUUUGCGGGAGCUUCUUUUGGAUGGAACUGAUAUUAAGGGACUACUAUUAUCAAUUGUACGUUUAUUUGGAAUUGUUCAGUUGAAUUUGAAAGGUUGUAAAAAUAUUUAGUGUCUUCCAAAUUUUAUAAGUGCUCUAAAAUUUCCUUCCACUUUGAAUUUCUCUGGCCUUUUGAAAUUCAGAUUGUUUCUAGAGAUCAUGGGACGUAUGGAACAUAUGUUGGCACUUCGAUUGUUGGGAACUGCUAUAAGAGGAUUGCCAAUGUCAAUUGAAUAUCUCUCUGGCAUUUUUUGCAAAAUUUAAAAGGUUGUAAAUAUCUCUUGAGUCUUCCAAUUACUAUAAGUAGAUUAAAAUGUUUAAGAACUCUAAUGCUCUCUGGUUGCUCGAAGCUGGAAAAUUUUUGGGGAAGUAUGAAAUCUCUAACUAUGCUAAUUUUAGAUGGAACUGCUAUUCGAGAAUUUCCAUUGUCAGUUGAAUAUCUAACUGGCCUUGUUGUGUUGAAUUUUAAAGAUUGGCAAAAUCUCGAAUGUCUUUCAAGUCCCAUCAGUGGUUUGAAAUAUCUUAAAAUUCUGAAUCUCUCUGGCUGCUCCAAACUUGAAAAUGUGCCAGAGAACUUGGGGAAAGUAGAUAGCUUGAAAGAGCUUGAUAAUAGUGGAACAACAAUUAGGCAACUUCCGACGUCUGUUUCUAUCUUGAAGAAUCUUAAAGCAGUGGACCACAAUCAUCUACAUCAUGGGAUUUGUGCUUCCCAACCAAUAUGAUGUGAAGGAGAUCAGAUCCUAUGACUAAUUUGAUGUUACCUUCUCUAUCAGGCUUAUGUUCUUUAACAAAAUGGGAUCUCAGAGACUGUAAUCUACCAGUGGAAGGAGGAGAAAUCCCAAGUGAUAUUUGCCACAUAUGCCUAUUGCUCAAAAUGAACCAAAAUCUAAUUCCCAUACCAGAUGCAAUGUUGGCUGAAUAAUAAAUGAUAGUAUGAACUGUUGUUUCUUUGCAUACGAUCUCUCGGUUACUCCUAGAGGACUCGUGUACGACGUCCGGCUCAAGUCGUCUAAACUUAGUAAGUGAGUGCACGCGUUGGUCACGUGCACUCACUUAUACACAAUGAUCAAACGACCCGAAAAUACUGUCGUUUUUAAGAGCAUUAGUGUCAGUAUGUAGCUGUUAAAUCGGUUAGAAAGGGCGGGAAAUUAUUACAAACCCAUAACAAGCUGAUGACCGAUGACGUAUAUUGUAUGAUGUCCAUUCCGUAGCUUGCAAUUUUCUCUCUAAGUUUGUAAGUUGUUCUGAGAAAACAAAUAAAGCUUGCCAAAGAAGGCAUAGGCCACUGUAGCUAAACAUCUCUAGAUAUUGUGUUUAUGUUUUGAUUUUUUUUUUUCUGUUUGAGCGAAGCCGUACUGAUGAUGAAGAACCUCAAGCUACAAGGAUUUAGGAAAUCUAAUAAAGAGUAAAGCCUUUUUAUACUCAUGCUUUGUAUUAUGUUCAUGUUUCACUAUUACCUAAUUGAAAUUGCAUUCCAACUUGGAUUUUCAAUUUCUUGACAAACUAUAUAUUCAUUUGAAUUAUGUAAUAUAAAGAUUUUCGUAUCACUAGUUUGUGCUUAUUGGUUAAAAUUCUUUCAUUCUAAUAUAUCAAUUAUAAUAGGCAAAAUGACGUCUACACCCCCUAAAUUUUAGGAAAUGAUCACCAAUACCCUCAAAUUUUUUGAAAAAGACACCAAAACCCUUUAAAAAAUUAAAUUUGAAAUUUUUAAUAAAUAAAAAUAUUAUAUAAAUAAUGUAAUCUAUGCAAUAGACUAAGAAUAUUAAAAUUAUUUAAUAUUUUAAUAAAUUUAAAUAUGUAAAUUGUUAUAUUUAUUUAAUAAUAUAUUUUUAUUUAUUUUAGAUAUUUUAAAUAAAUAUUUGCAUUAAAUAUAUUUUACAAUAAAAAAAAAUAUCACAUGCUAAUGUUAUUAUUAUUUUACAUAAUAUUGAAAAUAAUUUAAAUUUUAAUACACUUUUUUUAACAUUAUGAUUCUAUUUAUUAUAAAAUUUAAAUAUAUAUACUAAAAUAUAUCUAAUAGAUUGUAAAAUAUUAAAAUAUUUUUGAAGUAUUGAAAUUAUUUUACAAUGUAUACAUUAUUACACUUAUUUUAAUGUUAUAUUUCUAUUUAUUAUAAAACGUUAGUGUUGAUUCUUUUUGGGAUAAUAGAGGUUAAAGGGUACUAUCGCUAAAAGAAGGUCUUGGUGUUCCAUUUUGAAAAUUUGAGGGUGUUGGUGAUUAUUUUCUUAAACUUUGGGGGUGUAGAUGUCAUUUUCCCAUUAUAAUAUCUUUUUUUGGCUAUUAUACCUUUUAAUUUUAGUAAUAUUAAAAUUGAUUUUAAAUUUUAAAAUAAAUACAAAUAUAAUAUAAGAAUAAAUAAACAAAAAAAAGUAAUUUUUAUUUUGGAAUUCCAAAUAUCUUGUUUUCAACAUAAGAAGUAUAGUAUCUCAACUAGAUCCUAAAAUAAAAAUUACAGAGAGGAAAUCAGAUUGCUAUUAUUAGACUAUAUAGGGUGCGUUUGAGAUUGAGGUUGAGCAGCUGUAGCUUUUAAGCUAUGUUGAUAUGAUUUUUCACUUGUAUAAUAUAAAAUUUAUUAUAUCUUUAAUAAUUUUAUCAAAAUUAUUAUUUAAAAUUUAUAUUUACUAUAUAUUAUUAACUUUUGUUUCAUAAUUACAUCUUUUUUUUCACAGCAGCUAUAGCUUAAAAGCUACAGCACCUCAAUCCCAAACGCACCCAUAAUAAUAAAAAUUAAUUUUUAUUUUGGAUUUAUUUAAAAGUAAUUGAUCACAAAAUAAAAAAAAAUUAAAACAAUUGACCCAGGGCCAGCUUCGUUCGUCCUUUUAUAGAGAAUUGCAGGUAAAAAUCAUGCCCAGAACACGUUUGAUAAAAUACCCAAUUGGAGGAAUGCAUCCACCGGGUAUGUUGAAGAGCAACGACAUGAUGUAUCUGUUGCUGUAACUUUGUGAUUUCCUAAGCAAUCAGAAUCAAACAGUCAACAACUUUAUGAUUUCCCAGUUAAUCAACAAAGUCAAUUAUGCUGCCACUUUAUGAUUUCCCAGUUAAUCAACAAAGUCAAUUAUGCUGCAACUUUAUGAUACAUCUAUUGCCACAAUUUUUUUUCACGUAGAAAAUUCAAUAAAAUUAAUUUAAUAAUGUACAGGCUCAAACUUGUUGCCGCUUUGCUUGUAGUGCGGGUUUUGGGCUCCUUCAAAUUGCUGGUUGAUUAUGAUUAUUUGGGAGCCAAGCUUUUAAGUCCAAAUAAAUUUUUUAGGAACUUAAACAAGAGGCUUUGGAAUCAAUUUCUUGCAACAUGAGCAUCCUGCAGGGAGUUCCUCCAUAAAACAUUUGUAUGUUGGUUUGGAUCAAAAGGGAGUCGCUGUAUUUAGGGACGACGAAGAACUCGAGAGAGGAAAAGUAAUUUCACCAGGACUACUUACAGUAAUUGAAGAAUCAAGAAUUUUAAUAACUGUUUUCUCAAGAAACUAUGCGUCUUCCACUUUGUGCUUGAAGAACCAAGAAUUUCAAUAAUAUCUUUUAUAAAUAUCAAAGUGAGGAAACAACUAAAUCAUCUUAAAAAGAAAGAAAUCAUAAUUUAUACUUAUUAAAAACAAUUAGAUCAAAUCUCUUCAUUGGCAGCUAACAACAUCAAUUCCAUAUUCAAGUCAGCAAGUUUGGAAAGGUCCAUCCGUUGCUUGGAUUGCUGAAUCGCUCUUUUGGAUAAAUUUUCCGUGCUUUUAAUGAAAGAAAAUUAGAAAAGAAAAUUAUAGAGAUUGAACAAUUAGCAACAUACAAAAAGUUAAAAUUACUAACAAAUGAGCAAUUAUACUUUUCCAGCAAGUGAUUUGUGGUUAGCACUUUAAGCAGCAGCUACAAUCACAAAUAAAAACACAGUUUUUCUAAUCACUCAAUCCGUCAAUAUUAGAGGAGAUUCUGUUCUCUUCUUUGCUGAUUUUGAUUAUAUAUGUACAGUUUUUUUGGUACUUGUUGAGUUGUAACUCAAUGUAAGUACGUCGGUCAUUUUAAUCGGUUUUGUUGGCUUUCUCUCUUCCACAGUACUUUUUCUCUGAAAAAGUAUAGGAAUGAAAGAUGACUUAAGCCCCCGUGGCUUUCUCAAUCACCCACUAGUUGGGUGUUCUCUACAAUAUUAUUUAUGCAACAAAUUUAAUUUCGGUGGUUAGAAAUUUGGUGAGAAGUCUUAUUCAUAGAAUCACAGCAUCUAAUGGAUGCUGAGGAAUUAUUACGCAAGUGUCAGGUGAGUGUUUCAAAAGAAGAGGAGGCAGACAUGGUAACAUUCAUGGGGCGGAUGAAGAUAAAGGGAGAGGAGGUAGCUGCAAAUUGUGUAGUAGGCAAAGUGCUAACAUCAAGAAGUAUAAACAAGGAGGGCUUGAAAGCUGCAAUGCAAAUGGCUUGGAGAACUGUCAAAGAGGUUAAAAUAGAAAGUAUGGGGGAUAAUAUUUUCCUGUUCAAGUUCGCCUCUGAAGAAGAAAAGAAAAGGGUGCUCAUGGGAGGGUCGUGGCAUUUCGACAGAGCAUUGAUAGUUUUGACCGAACCAACAGGGAUUGGAGAUAUCAAAAAUCAAUCUUUUACACAUGCCACAUUUUGGGUUCAGCUUCAUAACAUACCAAUAAUGUGUAGAAACAAGGAGGCCAUCCAACAGCUGGGAGAAAAAAUUGGUACAGUCAAGGAAGUGGAGACAGACGAAGUUGGGGAAUGUAUUGGGCAGUUUGCUAGAGCCAGGAUAUCCAUUGAUAUUUCACAGCCUCUAAAAAAGAUUGUAUUCCUACAACAAGCGGAUGGCAAAACUCCAAUGCCAAUUUUGUAUGAAAACUUCCGGAUUUUUGCUUUUGUUGUGCGCAUAUCGGUCACCAGUACAGGGAAUGCUUGAGAUACAAAGGACAACAAAAGGAGGACUUGCCUUAUGGUGGUUGGAUGCGAGCUGUUACACAAGCUGACAGGAUAAAGCAAAAACGUAGUAGGUAGAAAGGCAAUCGAGAGCAAUCCAAUCCCAAAGAAAAUGUGCAAGCAACAACCAAUCCAAGCUCAAACAACCCGAUUGAUCAAGACAGGUCAAAAUUGAACAAUUCGGAUCGGGAAAUCAGAGAUGGAGCAGAACCAGAGGAUACAAGAAACCUGCUGAUAUCUGACAAAGCACAUUUAAUGUUGACCUCUUCAGAGACGAAAAAUCAGCAAGUGGGGAGUCAGAGUAUGGGCUGUGACAUCGACGAGGUGCAGAAUAGGGUGGCAAGUAAUGAUAGCCACUAUAGCUAUGAAAGUACAAAGGCAGGAGAAAAGAUUUUGAAGGAGAACGAAAAUCCUGUGGAUAAAACAGGAUUGGAAAUAAUAAAAGAUAAAAGGAAGCAGAUUGAAGAGAGUGCCAGAUCUGAUGUGGAAGAAAUGGAUAGUGGGCCAAGCAAGACCAACGCGAAGCCCAAAGCGAGAAAAUGGAAACUUAAGGCAAGAAUUCCAAUAGCAAAAGGAGCGAAGAAUUAUGGGUUAAUAGGAGCAAAAAGACCUAGCAGUGAUGACCAUCAGCUCAGCCCACAACACAAAAAAAUAAGAGUGCUCAGUCCACCAAAACAAUCACACGUGGGAAACCACACAAGCUUAGCAAUAAACUCAGACUACAGCAACCACAUUAGCUCAAACAGAACAGCCCGGCAGCUACAAAUAACAGAAGAGAUAUCAGAUGAAGGGGAAUAUGUGGCAGCUAUGGAAGAAGAAGUAUCGGCGGGUGUUGAAUUUCAAGCCCGCCGACAACCAUGAAACUCUUAAGUUGGAACGUUCGAGGUCUGGGGAAGCCUCGAACGCGCUUAGCUUUCAAAAAAAUUCUCCACCUGCACCGGCCUCAAAUUUUCUUCUGUUGUGAAACCAAGAUGUUGGCUAGGCAGGUUGAAUCGAUUUGUAGAGAUUUUAACUUCGAGAAUUGUUUUGCAGUAGAUAGAACGGGCAUGGGGGGAGGUCUAGCUUUGUUUUGGAGUGCAAAUGUUAAUGUUCGCAUUACCUCAUACAGCCCACAUCAUAUAGAUGCAAUAGUGAGUAGUGAAAGUGGUUUGAGGUGGAGAUGCACCGGGAUCUACGGCCAUCCUGAGUUCAGCCAGAAGCAUAAUACUUGGACUCUCAUGAAAAGGUUAGCCAGCCUAUUUUCCUAUCCUUGGUGCUGUUUUGGUGAUUUCAAUGAGAUAAUGCAUAUGCAUGAGAAAACCAGGGGCAAUGAGAGAAACCUGAAUAGGGUUGCCGAGUUUAGGGAAGCUGUGCAAAGCUGCAAUUUGCAGGAUAUGGGGUGUAAGGGAUAUCCCUAUACGUGGUCAAACAAAAGAUACGGAGAUCAUUUCAUUGAGGAGAGAUUGGACCGAUUUCUGUGUAGUAAAGAUUGGGGGAUUAAUUUCCAAGAAUCUGUAGGCACAGAUCUAGUGAACUGGUCUUCGGACCACUGCCCAAUUAUUCUAGAAUUCUAUGAGCGAAGCAUAAAAUUGAGAAAUGCGGGCAAAUCAUUCCCCCGAGAUUAUUAUGAGGAUAUGUGGAGCUCCCACGAAGGCUGUAAGAGUAUAGUCCAGGAAGAGUGGAGUCGGUAUGGGGCUAGAGCUUGGGAAUCCCCUGUUCAGCAAUUUCAGCGAAUAGCCAAAUCUUCCUUGGCCCAGCUAAAACUUUGGAGCAAAACCGAAUUUAAUGGUAGGCAAAGAAAGCAAGAAAAGCUGAUACAGAGCCUCCAGGAUGCUAUGAGAGGGAAUUCAAAGCUGGAUGAUGGCCAGGAAAUUAGGAGAUUGGAAAGUCAGAUUAACUCUAUGCUAGUUGAUGAGGAGAUUUACUGGAAACAGAGUUCGAGGGCUGACUGGCUUAGAGAAGGGGAUAAGAACACGAAGUAUUUUCACGCCAAAGCAUCUGCCCGCAAAAGGAAGAACAAGGUGUGGGGGAUUGAAAACGACCAAGGCAUUUGGUUGAAGGAAAGGGAUGAAAUAGAGGAGGAGAUUUGCAGCCAUUUCCAAGAGCUAUUCACUACUUCCGGCCCGACUCCAAGCCAAAUCCAAGCAACCCUUUAAGGCAUGCCUGCUAAAGUAACUCCGGAGAUGAAUGUUCAGCUGGAGACGCUGUUCACCGCUGAAGACGUUGAGGAAGCCCUUGCCAACAUGUGUUCCACAAAGGCCCCAGGGCCUGAUGGUCUUCCAGCUGCCUUCUUCCAGAAGCAUUGGAAAUCUGUCCGUAUCGGAGUGAUCUCAACGUGCCUUAAUGUCCUUAAUGAGCAAGGUAACCCAUCUACCCUCAAUCACACUUUCAUUGCUUUGAUUCCAAAAAUUGCAAAUCCUAGGAAAGUGAGUGAUUAUAGACCUAUCAGCCUCUGUAAUGUUAUUUAUAGAGUUGUAGCUAAGGCCAUUGCAAAUAGAAUGAAGCCGAUCCUUUCCCAAAUCAUCUCCCCUAUGCAAAGUGCAUUCAUCCCCAAUAGGCUCAUUACCGACAAUGUUAUUAUUGGUUAUGAAUGCCUUCAUAAAAUAAGGCAUAGCAAAGGGAAGAAGAACGGACUUGUGGCUUUAAAAUUGGACAUAAGUAAGGCUUAUGAUAGAGUUGAGUAGCCUUUUUUGGAACAAACUAUGCUAAAGAUGGGGUUUCCUAGUAAUUGGGUAGCUUUGAUAAUGAGAUGUGUUACUUCCACUUCAUUCUCGGUGCUUAUUAAUGGUGUGCCAAAAGGAAUGAUCCAGCCGGAAAGAGGCUUGCGACAGGGCUGCCCGCUAUCCCCGUACCUUUUUAUCCUUUGUGCAGAGGCUCUCUCCAAUUUGUUGGUUUUGACAGAACAGAACCAGCUAAUCCGAGGUCUCAAAUUUGCGCGGGAAGUUUCAAUUACUCACUUGCUGUUUGCGGACAACAGCUUGGUUUUCUCUCGUGCAUCAGUGGCUGAAUGCAGGCAUUUAAAAGAAAUUUUUGAUAAAUAUGCUGCAGCAUCAGGGCAGAUUUUUAAUUUCUAGAAAUCCUCAUUAUUUUUCAGUGGGAAAAUUCCAGAGCAUCAAAGGGCUGCUAUAAGGGGUAUAUUUAAUCUAAAUGUGGUCUCAAAGGACGAGAAAUAUCUCGGUCUUCCAUCAAUGCUUGGGAGAAAGAAGAUGGGGUUCUUUAAUGACAUCAAACUAAAAGUGUUGAACAAGAUUGCAGGAUGGCAGCAUAAAAUAUUGUCUAGUGGGGGGAAGGAAGUUCUGAUCAAAGCGGCUGCCCAAGCAAUUCCAGCAUAUGCAAUGAGUGUUUUCAAGCUCCCAAGAGGCUUUUGUGAUGAUAUUCAGCGAGCUAUAGCGAAGUUCUGGUGGGGCUCGAAAGGGGAUAAGCGUGGAAUCCAUUGGCGGAAAUGGGAGAAGCUCAGCCAGGCAAAGAUUAGAGGGGGGUUGGGAUUUCGAGAGUUUACUUGCUUCAAUCAAGCAUUGGUAGCUAAGCAAGCAUGGAGGUUACUGCAGUACCCAAAUUCGCUAGUCUCAAGAGUCCUUCAAGCAAGAUAUUUAAGGAAUUCCAGCUUUUUAUGUGCGAAGGCAGGAGCCAAUGCCUCGUAUAUUUGGAGAAGCAUCAUGUGGGGUAGGCAGGUGAUUAAGAAGGGUAUGAGAUGGCAGAUAGGUAAUAGCAAGAAGAUAGCAAUCUUCUUGGAUAACUGGCUGCCAAGACCAGAGACCUUUAGACCUAUCUUCCCUCCAUCAUUGCCUGUAAGCUCAGUUGUUGCAGACUUAAUUAAGGCUGAUAAUCAAUGGGAUGAAAUAAAGCUUCGACAACACUUCAUGGAUGCAGACACAGCAAAGAUCCUCAAGAUUUCCCUCCCAGCUGAGAAAGCAGAAGAUGAAGUGCUUUGGCAUUACGACAAAAGAGGGAACUACUCUGUCAAGAGUGGGUACCAGCUAGCCUUGAGAUCAAAAUUUCCAGAUUCCACCAGCUGCACAUAGGCUUCCAUCAAGUAUUGGAGUGCCCUUUGGACAUUGGAGCUGCCUGAGAAGCUUAAAAUUUUCAUGUGGAGGGCUUCAAAUAAUCUGCUUCCAUCAGCGGAAAAUCUGUGGAAAAGGAAGGUAGUGGAGGAGCCAACUUGUAAGCGAUGCAAAAUAAGUGUUGAGACUAUCAGCCAUGCUCUCUUGGAGUGCAAGGCAGCGAGAAAGAUUUGGCUCCAAUCCCCCUUUUCAGCCCCUAGCUUAGAAGCUAAUUCUCAGGAGAUUUUCAGCACUCUGCAAAAUAUGGCUAAGGAGCUGAGGAAAUCAGAUCUGGAAUUAAUGGUAGCUCUAUGUUGGUCUGCCUGGUAUGCUAGGAACAAAUGUAUCUUCGAUGGCAGGGAGAUUAAUCCUCUUAUCUCAGCUGCUAAAGCGGAGUCAGUAUUGACAGCAUUUCAGAGAGCUAGGAAGCCCCAGCAAGCUCACAUCUCUAUCUUCAGAAAAGCGAAGCAGCAGGAGUGGCUCCCCCCCCCCUCCCCCGGAGAAUUUUUUAAAGUUAACGUGGAUGCUGCUAUUACUUCAAAGAAUCUGAGUGCAGGAGUGGGAGCUGUGAUUAGAGACUCUAAUGGAAAAAUAGUUGCGGCUGGGGUAAAUCAGAACCUCCUAAAGGGGUUAGUUAGCUUGGCUGAAGCAGAGGCGGUGCUUUGGGGCCUUCAGCUGGCAAGAAGUGCGGAUGUAUCCUCUUUGAUUAUUGAGUCUGAUUGUUUAGAGGUGGUCCAGCUAGUGAACAACACCAAGGGCAGCAGAUCAGAUAUUUUUUGGACAAUUCUGGCAAUCUAAAACCAGAUGAAGAACUUCCAGAAUGUUGUUGUCAAUCACAUUCCAAGACAUUGUAAUGCUUGUGCCCAUUACCUAGCUAAGAUAGCUUUGGGGAAAAUCUCUCCCUGUAUGUGGCUGGGAAAUAUUCAGCUGAAUUGUAUGGUAUUCUCAAGGUGUUGUGAUUAAUGAAAGGCUUACUUUCUUUUCAAAAAAAAAAAACUCAAUGUAAGUACACAUUUUUUUCCCCAACAACACAAAAAAACAAUUGCUUCUUCAACUUCUUCUGUUAUCCAUAUGCUAAAAAAAAAAAAAUAAGAACAUUGAAGAAAGAAGGCAUUUAUAUUGUCAUUAAAAGGAGGUUUUCCACUUGUGAUUUCCUUCCAGCCAUUAACGUAAUCCGACAUUCGAUCAUUCCAUUGCAUGACUCGUGAAGAACGGUAGGCUCUUGAAUGCUUUUAUUUUCUUUCAAUUUAAGAGGCAUUUACUUAUAAAAAUCCUAUGCUUUUCCUUAAAACAAAUAUAUUUUCCUAAUUAACUAAAGUUCUCUUAAAGCAAAGUACUUCAUUGGAAUUCAUCUACUUACAAAAAUCCUCUCUAUUUAAGAUUUGCUCAGGUACACUCUCCCAUCAGAUUUAGAAAGUCAAAUUUUCUGAUAUAUUUUAAAAUUUGCAGUAUGAUAUUUUAUUUUCUUUAAAGAAAGGAUAACAUAAAAUUGUGUAAGAUCAAUUAAAGUAGAAAUUUGAUUCAUGCGUAACUAUAACUUAAGUGAUCACAUAAUAGUUGACUUCUUUUUACAAUUUCGACAUGCUUAUUUCAUUUUUUGUGUAGUUUUUAUUUUGUUUUAUUUUAUUUUUACUAUUAUACUCUUGACUAUAGUAAGCCGAAAGUUGAUAUUAUAUUUUAAAAUAAAUAUAAAUAUAUUAUAUUAUUAAAUAAAUAAACUAAAUAUAUUAUAUUUUAAAAAUAAAAAUAAAUUUAUUAUUAAUAUAAAUAAUAUAAAAUUAUUAUUCUUGAUUAUUUUAUUUUUACUAUUCCCUGACUUUAUCACCGAGCGCGCAUCUCAAAUUCAAAUGUUAUUUUGCACAUGAUAAUUCAUUUACAUUCCAUUUAUUCAAAAAUCUGUUAUAAAUCAGUUAAGGGUUAGUGACGUGGCAUUGGUGUCCAUGUUUGUUAACCGUGGUUAGCACUUCAGCAGCAGCUACAAAAUAAACACAGGGUCUGAUUUAUUGUCAAUCUUUAAUGUGUCCGUUUGUCGGGUAGAGCGACGAGUUAAGAGAGUGUUUAUUGAGCUCACGCUCUUCCUUGUCAUUUCCUCUGUGAAUUUUUAUGGGUUUAAAUACUUGAACCUCGGAAUUGAGGCUACAAUGUUUAGUGCACAUAUGUUGAAUAUGAAUAUGAUCGAUCUCAGCUUGAUUUGGGCCCAGAACAAACGAUAAAUAGACAAAGGAAUGAUUAUAUGGAAUUCGCAGGCCAGGUUCAAGAGAGGAGUUGUUGAGGAAUUAUGGUAUAAUUCUCGUGCCUAGGACGUGUUCGAUAAUAUGCCUACGAAGGAAUGUGCAUCCCACCUGAUGUGUUGCAUCAACUCUAUGGUUUCCCACGCAAAAGCAAUCAAUCAACAAGGUCAAUUCGUGAAGGUUUGUCCUGCGUGAGUCAUAGCUAGUGAGCAGAUUCUGAGAGUCUUUAGUCUUUAACAGAAUUUUACCACAAACACAGUGCAAACCCAGUGUUUAUCUAAUCAAUUAUUUUCUUUUUCUAGCGGCUAACCUUUUUGCAAAUUUCUAAAUAGAAAUAUACAUGACAGAAUUUUCAUUAUUUGUUGUUUCAUGAAUGAUGUGGUAGAAUGAAGGAAUUGUAGAAUUUCUUGAGUUUUAGACAUAAAACAGAGUCAGGCCAUGGAAUGAAUGAAAAAAAUAUCAUCACAUUUGUUGGAAUGAUGCUGUGCUUUAUUCAAAAUUAUUUCUUCCACUAGAGAAGCAAUCAAUAAUAGUGUUAAUUCUUGAACCUGUGAAAAGCAAUUAAUUUUCUCCAUUUGUUUACUAGCAAUCUUCCAUAACCAUUGUGCUUGGCUGUGAAAUAGCCUAUUUGUGGCUGAACAUAGAAUCUGUUUUUUGUUUCUUUGUUGCUUUUUGUGAUCUUUGGCUUAAUUUACAAUUCAUGGCAUGUCUGAAAAUGGGUCGAUGAAUAUGUUAAAUAUGGACUCAGAUCUAGAUCAGAUUUAUCCAUGAAACAAUCAAGAGGAUUCAACAUUUGAUUUUUGUUUUUCUUUUCUCCACCCCCAUGUUUAAUUUUGGUCGGAGGACUUGGUUGAUAGGAAUUGACAACAAUUGAUUUUCCUUUUUUUCGUUAAACAAGAGACCACAAUGUCAAUUUGAAGACUUUGUUGAUAAGAAUUGACAACUGUUGGUUCUUAUUAUUUGUUUUUGUUUAAUAGAAGAUGCCUUGGAAUUCCGCAUCGUUGACAUGUAGUUGAUAUUUAAAACAUUUUGAUGUUAGAGCUUAGAAUGUUUGCUGUUGGAAUUCUUAUUAAGAAAAUUACUAUGCUGCUUGCAACAUAAUCAAAGUUGUAAGUUUUAUGCCCUGCAGUUCUCUUUAUUUUCAAUUAUGUUUUUGAAUUUUCAGAAUAAAUAUGAAGAAAAAGAUCAUUAAUUUCCAAAGCAGAGAAGAAAAUAUUUUCAGAAUUAUACUACAAUGACUAUAGGGAGAUCCUGAAAAUGAGAUUCUUGAUGUUCAUCAAAUAAGUUUUGAUGGGUCAAAAGAAACAGAGAAGAAAAUAUUUCUCGAUCUUGCAUGUUUCUAUGAAGGGAAGCACAGAGAUUAUGUGAAAACAAUUCUCAAAUAUUGUGAUUUUGACCCAAUUAUCGAAAUUGUUGGUCCUAUUGACAAAUCUCUAUUAACUGUAGAUGAUUUCGGCGGACUGUGGAUGCAUGAGUAGUUACAAGAAAUAGGGUAGACAAAUUGUUAGGAGGCAAUCCCAUCAGGAGCCUGGAAACUGCAAUAGAUUGUGGGAAAAAGCCGAUAUAUGCCAUGUAUUAUCACAAAGCACAAGUAGAGAUGGCAAAACCCCGGGCCGGGUCCGGGUAUUGCCAUGACCGGACCCUGCCCGGAUGCAACCGGUCCGGGUCCGGGUCUGGGCCGGGUUUUAUCCGGGUACCCGAAUUUUAUGUUUUUUAAUAUUUUAUGUGUAUAUAUUUUUAAUUUUUUGGUAAUUUUAUAAGUUUUAAAUUUAUUUUAAUAAAAUUUGACAUGAAAAUAUAAACUUUAAGUGUUUAAAACUUUAUAUAUGUAUAAUAAAUGAUUCAAAUAAAUAUAAAAUAUUUAAAAUAAUAUAUAUUUUAUAAUUUUUUUUAAUAAAAUCCGGGUUCCGGGUUUAUCAAGUGAUGCCCAAGACCGACCCGGCUUCAUACCCGGGCCGGGUAUUACCCGGCCCGCAACGCCCGGGUACGGUCCGGGUCCGGACCGGGCGGGUAUUUUUGCCAUCUCUAAGCACAAGUAAAUGUUCAGUUAGGUUGAAAACUUGCAAUUUUGGGAUCAUGAUCACUUAUUUAACUAGUUAAACCUUUGCAUAGUUUUAUCAAUAUUUUCUUUCUUUCAUUUUUUUUUUUUUGGUUCCCACUUAUUUUUUGUUAUAAUGUUUAGGAAACUGAUGUAGUUGAAGCAUCAUAUUUGAUUAACAACAAUGAGAUGCAUGUCAGUGCUAAAGCCUUUUCUAAUAUGACCAAUCAGACUUCACAAGAGUACCAAAUUUAGGGGAGCUGAUUUCUGAAAGAUUUACAAGGUUGCAGGAGAUUCACUCAUUUUUUCUGCUUCAAAGAAGCUGAUUCUGUUGAAUUUGAAAGGUUGUACAAGUCUUUCAACUCUUCCAGGCAAGAUCUUUAUGAAAUCUGAUUAAGACACUUGUUCUUUCUGGUUGCUUGAAGUUGAAGAAAUUUCCAGACAUUGUGCAAGUUCUUCCGGAUGGAACUGAUAUUAGAGAACUGUCAUUAGCAAUUGAACUUCUAUUUGGACUUGUUUAGUUGACUCUGAAUGGCUGCAAAAAUCUUGAGCAUCUUCCAAGGACCGUAAGAGCUCUGAAAUAUCUAUCAACUUUGAAUCUUUCCGGCCUUUUGAAAUUCAGAUAGUUUCCACAGAUAACUUCAAGCAGGGAUCAGCUCUUGGAGAUUCAUUUGGAAGGAACUGCUAUAAGAGGAUUGCCAGCAUCUAUUGAACUUCUUUCUGGCAAUGUUUUGUCGAAUUUGAAAGAUUGCAAGAAUCUCAAGAGUCUUCCAUGUAUGAUAAAUGGUUUGAGAUCUCUUAAAUUGUUGUAUCCCUCUGGUUGCUCCAAACUUAAAAAUGUGACAGAGACCUUGGGGAAAGUUGAAAUCUUGGAAGUAAGAUUGUCUUGUUAGAAUCAGGCGAAAAUGCAGAAUGACUUCAACUGUGUGGAACAGAGUGCAGUGGAGACAGUAACAAAGUUAGCAAAAGCAGAAUCGCUAAGGUACUUUACAAAAUUAAUAAUUUCCUUUAUAACAUGCAGUACCGUAUUACUUCUAUGUGCAUUGCUAUCAAUAUCUUCGACCGAAAGAUUCAGAUUCAUGGAAGAAGAAUGUUGAUAAGGGCAUCAAGCUAUCUACAACAGCAAUAUCAGCUUGCUCACUUGCCUGCCAUAGGCUGAUUCAAACCUCAAGAGCCAUGCCGAAGAGUUGAAUCAAAUAACAGCAAAUUCACAUCUUAGGUGGCCUUUUCUUCCAGCUUAGUCACUGCAUCAUUUUUUUUAUAGCAGGUUCGUUCUAUAAUAAUCUCAUAGGCACAUAUCAUGAACUUUGUUUUAUCAUGCUUGCAUACUUUGUUUACUUCUGCACAGUGAUAUACACAUUCACUAUCUCUAUUUUGCAUGACUACUAUAAAUUUAAGUAGAAAUUGAUUUUGGAAUAUGCUCUUAUCCUUUAUUAAUCAUAUAAAAAGUUCAUACGUGAGGGUAUACUAUUUACAGCUGUCUUGCGGAUGGAUUUAUAACCUUACUAAGUAAUAUUAUCAACAAUUUUUGGAUUUGCUGAUUUUAGAGCCUGGUCUUAGAAUCCAUAAUGCAUUGACAAAUACAGAAAUGAUCAAAUUGCUAGCCUCAGUAGUUGCUAUUUAUGUUAUUAUUGAAAGAUGAUUCAAAUUCUUUAUGUAUGUUAGUUUUUGUUUGGGCGGGAAAUUUAAGUUUUAUCUUAGUUGACUCUAUUGACCACCGCUUGUAUCAAAAAAAUCUGAAUACUGGUCGUACGAGUACUAUAUAGCAGACCCGAGGGCAUGCGAGGAGAGACCAAAAUCGAGUCAGAUCGAAGGCUUGAUCAAAGGCCAACACGUAGUUUGUCUCCAAGAAACUCGGGCACAAAGCCCAUUCAGCGGCAGUUACAUUGUCCAUUGACCCAUGAUUUCAAAGACGCAGCACGCACCUUUUCACUUCCAAGCCAACAGUAAUCGUGGGGAAGAUGGAGUCGAUGGUUCAGGUUGGGUAUAAAAGCUACGGAGAAUGGAGGUAAAAAGGGCUGGACAAAUUUUUUUUUUUAAUUUCCAUAUUUUCUCUCUCUUUGACUUUUUCUCUCUCGAUAAUUCUCUCUAUUUAUUUUUCUUCGUUUUGAGAAUUAAGAUUUCUAACUUUCAAUUGAUAUAAUUAAGUAAUGAGUUUGUGAUACAAGUUUUUCUAAAAGAGACCCAAUUACUGACAUGAGCGUUGGAGGAUUUUCGCCAAAAAAUUUUUGGUGCCGCUCUAAUUGGAUAUUGUGAGUAUAGGUGAUUCAACUUAGCGAGUUUUGGUUGAAGCUAUCUACUCGAGUGCGAUAGCCGUCGCACUGAAUCAGCUCCCUAGCAAAUAAAAUUUAAACGUUGGCGCAGAUGGCCUGGUCGCAGUUCCAUCGAUCAGAUUCCUGCAUCAACACCGUCAGGACUCUACCAAGUUUACCUCAAGUUUCCAUCAAGACACAACAUGAUGAUCCAUGUCACAAAUUAUUUCUAAUGUUACGAUUAUAUUUAAUGGAAAUGACUCAGAAAUCUACUUCUAAUAGACGUUUUUAGAUUUAGUCCCGUGUAUUUUAUACAAUUGAAGCUUCCAGGAAAUUUUGCGGUAAUGUCAUAUGAUGUAUUGUCGGUAGACACGAUGAAAAUAAUUAAAAUGUCACUUUUUGACCAAGACUUGCUUUUCGUUUUGUCAUACAAACAAACAACAACAGAGAUGGGAAGAUAGAAUUUGUGUGACGCACAACUAUGCUUUCUCAAUAAAACAGAACUUUAAUUCUCCAAAUAGAAGUCCUCUGCUUUCCCCUGAAUUCCAUUAAGUAGCUGCCUGCUACAGUAAUGAGUUGACUCUAUUGACCACUGCUCGUAUAAAAAAAAUCUGAAUAAUAAACUUACAACUUGUGAGGCUUGUAACCAAAAGAUGCCUAAAACCAAUUAUUUCUAAGAGAAGUGGACAGCUUGAAUAAUAAAUGUACAAUAAAAAAUUUACUUUUGUUGUGAUUUUCACAAAUGGAUUAAAAAAAAAAUGAUUGGCGGAUUGAAUAAUGAAUGUACAAUAAACAAAAAAAUUUACUUUUGUUGUGAUUUUCACGGACGAACAAAAAAGACAAAAGGGAUUAUAAGUGUAUUUAAACGGUCCAUUAGCCUUUAACAUUUACUUUCAAAUCUUUACUUAUCUCAACAAGAAAUUUCUAUAACUUUAAAAAAAAAAAUUAAAGAUUAUAGUGGAAUUCUUCGGAAAGAAUAAAUUCUUGAAAGAUUUUGGUGGAAAUUUUCCAAAAUAAUAAAAUUUUUAAAAAGAUUAUCGUGGAAUUUUUCUAAAAGAAUAUUUUAUUCACUUUGCCCUAUAAAAUGCAAUUACAUUGAGGCCGCCCUUGAUAAAAUACUAAAAGAAAUCAUUGCUUUCCUCAACAUCAUGUCGACCAUAACUUUGAUUCUAUGCACCACUAAAGACCAUGAUCAUGGUUCGUAAUUGCUUUCAGCAGACACUUUUGAUUACACUUUUUGUUUUUGAGAAAUUAAUUAGAGCACAAAACAUUCCUUUCAUUGAUUUCUUUGAAAGAAACUUAGGUCCUCUUAUACUGUAAUUUUUUAGUUUUAAAUUAUUAAAAAAAUUAUAAUUAUAAGAUAAAAAUUAAUAGUAUAUAAUGAAUAUAAUUUUUAAAUAAUAAUUUUUAUAAAAUUAAUAAAAAUAUAAUAAAUUUUUCAUCAUACAACAUAAUUUUUAAGAUAUAAUAGUUAAUACUCAUUAAACACUUUAGUAUUAUAGUUUAAAAAUUACAAUUUCCCAAGCUCAAUUCCAAAUAAAGCCUUAAGUAGAAGAUUAAGUAAAAAUUUACGAUCUUUAUUGCUUCCGAUAAGCUCAAAAAUGCCAGUUAAUUUUCUUACAUUUUUUCAUUUCAAAUAAAAGUAAAAUGCCGAAUGUAUUAAAAUUUGUCAAAAUUUUAUGCUAAAAAUCAUUAGGAGAAAAAUGAUUAUUUUAGCCAUUUUGAGUCCCCCGACAGAUUUUGAGGGAGAUUGGAAUCUUGUGUAAUUUUGCUGUUUGGAGUUAUGAUGCAUCUUUAUCGUCUUUUCUGUUGACUGAACUUGAUUGACCUCUGCAUGCGACCUCAUGUAGGUCCGUCCGCUGAAAUACGGGUUACGUGUUCUUUAAUGGAUCAACUCGACCCGUAUUUGACCCGAUAUUGACCCGCGUUUGGUUGGACCGUAGGAUGUAUGUGACGUGUCUUGUUGGCCGUUGAUCCGCCUUGUGUGAGGGUACUGGAUGGUUGACGUUGUAUCUGGACCACUAUUUUGAUCAUAUUGAACGCGGUCCAAGGGUUCUGAAGCUGUCACGUACUCUGCUACUUCAAACCCUUGUUUAAUUCAAUUUGGUGGAUCCAACGGCCAUUUUCCGCAUCUCUUUAAAAUGUUAAAGCAUCAUUUUAAGCUCUACAGGCCGUCGAGUUCGAGCGAGCUUAUGAUGGGUGUCGAAGCCAACAAAAAUAAAUUCCUACUCUAAAUAAAUUGUGUAUAGUGAUUGAGCAGGGUCGUGUCCACAGAGAUCGGUAAUUAUUUAAAUCCUUUUGAAACGUAAAACGUAAAAUGGGGGAAUUGUUGACAAUAAUAAAAAUAAAAUUAAAAAUAACAAGAAUGCAAAUUAAAGUUGUAAUUCAAAUUGGAGAAAGCUCUGGUUGAAGGAAUUACCUCAGCUUGAUUCGACUACUGAUCAUUGAUUCAAAUAUAGAUUAUUAUUACUCAUGAAUAGACCGGUUAUAGCUACUAAGACCCUCUAAUAGACAAUCUCUCCUUAACUAGUCGAUAACCAAGGUACGACCGUUGGUUAUUUCCCUAAUCAAUAGACAACCCUAGAUACGAUCAUAGAAUUUAAUCAAUUGACAGCCUGAAAAACCAGAGAGACCCAAAUCCUAAUCAACACAUAUGAUGAUUCAUUUAAAUUAGAUUGUUUAUUCUCACAACACAACUCUCUGCUAUGUUAUUUGUCACAAACAUUAAAUUCUUCAUACAAUGAAUCCUUUAAUUGACAAUAGAUUAAGUUGAUAAUUAAAUAGUGGUCAAUUACCUAAUUAACAAACAUAAUCAUGAAAAUAAUUUAGAGAAUAAACAAAUACCCAAAAAGUAAUAAAACAAUUAAAGCACAAGAAAGAUCUCACAGUAGUGAUGAAUCAAAGCUUCAUUAACCUUCAACCAGAAAAAUGAGUUUAGUUCCUCAUAGAGAGAAGAGAAAAAUUAGAUCUAGGGUUUCUUUUUCUCCAAUCCAAAAAUCUCCCCUUUUUCACAAUAGAUUACUCCCUUAAAUACUCUCUCUCUCUUCUCUUUUAGAAUUCUAUUUAAAAUAAAAUACUAAUAUCUGAAAUAUUAAGUUCGUAAUUACAAAAAUAACCAAAAAUACAAAACACGUUAAACUAAAAACUGCAGGUCCGCAGUUGACAGCACGCGCCCACGCCUUAUCAACAAAGUUCUUCUGACGCUCAUAAUUUCUUCAAGAGAACAAUCCUCCUUAAACAUCAUCUUUUAGCUCAAUUUUAUCACCAAUCAAUAGAAUUGCACCUACAAAAGUAAAACACAAGUAAAACAUUAUUAUUAAGUGCAAAACAUCGAUAUUAAGGGAAGUAAACAAUGCAAAACUAGUGCAUAAAUUGCACUCUAACAAAUUCCCCCACACCAAGAUGAUGCUUGUCCUCAAGCAUAUAACUCAAGAUUAAUCCCAAAUCUCCACUCAAUUCUCAUCUCAACUCAUCCAAAAUAAUUUUAAGCAAGCAUACCUCAAGAAAUUAAGUCGAUCAACAUUCGAGAGACAAGGAUUUUAAAGCAUAGAAUCUCAUAAGAUAGAAUAAGAACAUUCAACCACCAAGAAGAUCCAUUCAAAAUUCAAGUGCAACAAGAUGUAAUAGCCCUCUCAAUAACUUCACUCCAUGCACUCAAAGUGUUUAGGGUGUCAUUUAUCCACUCAAAUCAAAUCAAAGAAUGCUAUUACCAUAAGCUUGCUCAUAUAUCACAUCUCAAUCCACAAAACAUGAAUAAAAUGCAAAAAUCUAAGGGUCUUAAAAGGGUUGUAAUGGGGUUAAAUGGGUUAAAUGAAAAAGAAAGGUUUACAAAAGAAAAAGAGAUCAAAAUGAGAAGAAUGAACUCAUUGAAUGAACUUAUGAUAUCAAAAUGCUUAUUUCUACUCAAGUCACCAAGAAUGUAAACAUUUUUUUUUUUUGAUUUUUUUUUUCGAUUUUUCUUUUUCAUUUUUUUUCAUUUUUUUUUUCAUUUUUUCAUUUUUUUUUUGUUUUUUUUGUUUUUUUCGAAUCAAACAAAAGAAACGAACCUUGCACAAUUUAAUUCAAGCAUAAUGCUUGUUGAUCUAAUUGAGAAACUUCAAUACAAGGUAGAAAAAGCAACAAAAUGUACCCACACAAUGAGUCCAAAAAUCUCCUUAAAUUGAGGCUAAAAAAGAAGAAAAAUGGUUAAGUAGACGGAGAGAAUUAGAUGGGUAAUGGUUAAGGCUCAAACAAAGGUAGCAAAUAAAGGUCUUCGGGUAGAGAAAAAGGAAAAUGCGAGAAUAGAAAAAUGGUAAAUGGUUUGCCCUUAUCAUUUUAAUGCCUAAAAUCCCGUAAUGCGGCUUCAACAUGCAUAACAAAGCAAGUUCUAGAAUAAACAAACUAAGAUUGAUAUUCACAUAACAAAAAUAUUAGAGCAAAGUGGUUGCUCAUAGGCUCAAAUCCUCACAAAGUUGGUAAAUUUGCCAUCAAAUCAUGUACACUCUUCAAAUGAAUCAACCAUCAAUAGUGGUGUAGAAUGGGAAGAAGGUAUGAGUGAAGGAAAGGUAAAAAUGAUAAGAAGUGAGAAAGAUGUAUGUAGUAAUAUGAAAAGUGAAAGAUAAAAUGUGAGUGAUGAAAGAGUAUGAUAGAAUAAAAAUAGAUGUAAAUAAUUUGAGAUAGAUGGGAAAAAAGUAGUGAGAAAGAAAAGAAAAGAAAAAUAAUAAUAUAUGAAGCAUACUAACUCCAAAAUCAUUUAAGGAUGAGUAGAGUGAAAAUAGAUGAGUAGAGUGAAAACAAUAAUUCCAGACAUCAAUAAUGCAAAAAUCCCUCCCCCACACCAAGAACUGACAUUGUCCCCAAUGUAAGAUAAUCAAAGCUCACAUAAAAAUUAAAGCGUAAGGAUAAAAGAUUAAGGGCAAAAACUUCCCUGAAUUGUGAUCUUUGAUCCUCAUAACGUCUAUAGGCUUGGCGGGAAUGGUGGGAUAAAUCCCACACUCUUGAAGUAUGCGGCCAAAUUCUGCUCCAUCUUGUCACGGAUUUCGAUUCACGCGCCUGGAAUGCAGGUCGUAGGCUGGUUGCGUUGCGAUUGCUGCUCGGCUGGAGCUUGCUUGAUGGACGCGGGAUGGCACUGAUUGUGUUGCGCGCGCGCGCUGGGGCUGCUGGAUCUGCACGCUGCGUGGGCUGUGUUGCGAGGCGUUGCUGCUGCUGCUUCACGAGGGUGAUUGCUGGAUUGAUUUGUGCUGUGCGCGCGGGCUGGAGCUGAGGAUCUGUGUUGCGGGGCGUUACUGCUACUGCUUCGCGGGAUGUGUUGCGCGCACGGUUGCUGCUGAUUUCGCACGAUGGUGAUGGCUGGGGCUUGCUGCGUUGCGCGCGGCAGCUUUCGCUGGUGGGACUUCGUUGCGCGCUGCUGGGCUGCGAGACACGGGAUGCUGGUGCUGCGCUCACGGGAUGGUGCGUUUUCCGGCGGGCUGGUUUGUUGCAGGUGUGUUGCAAGCGGCUGGAGAAGAAAACAAGUUCUGGAAAAUUAGGGAUUUUGUGAACAGUGAAUAGUGAACAGUGAUUUUCGAUUUUUGGUUUUUUUUUAAAUAAAUAAAUAAAUAAAAAGAAAGAAAGGAAUGAAAAAAAAAAGAAAAAAAAUAAAAAUAAAAAUAAAAUAAAUAAUUUUUUUUUUUUUUUUUUUUAGUGAUGAAUCACUUUGAGACACUAAAAAUUUCAGAAGUACUUUUCUAAUAAGUACGUGGGCACGCCUUAUAAAAAAUUUUCUUCUGACCAAAAUAAGCAAACACAUUAAAUUUCAGAAGUACUUUUCUAUUAAGUACGUGGGCACGCCUUAAAACUAUGUUACUUUAAAAAUUACAGAAGUACUUAUUAGCUAAGACGUGGGCACGCCUUAUCAAAAAUUUUCUUCUGACCAAAAUAAGCACAAUUUUUUUUUUUUGAAUCAAAAUUAAAAGAAGAUAUAACAAAAACCAAAAUAAAUAAAUCAUUUGGGUUGCGUCCCAAAAAGCGCCUUUGUUUUAUGUCUUUGGCUAGACACAUUUAUGCAUCAAUCUCCAUAAUUGGGACUCUCGAGAGCCACAUCCUCCACAAUAUUCACCGAAAAACCUUCAUAAAAAGGUUUUAAGCGAUGACCAUUAACCUUAAAAAUUUUGUCAGAGGUCGGACUCUGAAUCUCAACUGCACCAUGAGGAAAAAUAUUAGUAACAAUAAAAGGUCCAACCCAACAAGAACGUAAUUUACCCGGAAAAAGUUUAAGCUUAGAAUGAAAAAGAAGAACUUUUUGACCAACAGAGAACUCCUUUCUCAAAAUCAUUGUAUCAUGAAAUGUCUUCGUCUUUUCCUUGUAAAAAACUUCCUGCACUAUAAGGUUAAUAACAUCCACAGAAAAUACCGAAUGUUCCUCACUAGGAUAUUUCAUGGCAUCAUUCAUAUUGAAUUCUAUAACCUCUCCAUCAAACUCCAUAGUGAGAGUCCCUUUAUGUACAUCCAUUUUAGUCCUAGCAGUCUUAAGAAAAGGUCUUCCUAGCAAAAUUGGGACAGAAUUAGAGGAGUUAUCAUCUUCCAUAUCAAGUACAUAAAAAUCAGCAGGAAAAACCAACUCAUUAACUUGUACUAAGACAUCUUCUAAUACCCCAUCAGGAUAUGCAUUAGACCUAUCAGCUAGUUGAAUUAUCACGCCAGUUUCUUUUAAUGCACCAAUAUUCAAAGACGAAUAAAUGGAACGAGGCAUGACAUUAAUAGAAGCUCCUAGAUCUAACAUAGCCUUUUCAACUUUGACAUUACCAAUUUUGCAAGGGAUAGUAAACAUACCUGGAUCCUUGCACUUAGGAGGUAGUUUCUUUUGGAGAACUGCUGAAACAUUCUCCCCCAUAUGAACUUUUUCAUCUCCUCUUAAUUUUCUCUUAGAGGUGCAUAGUUCCUUAAGGACUUUAGCAUAUCGAGGUAUUUGUUUUAUAGCAUCUAAUAAAGGAAUAUUUACCUCAACCUUGCGAAAUGUCUCAAGGAUGUCUUUCUCUUGUUCCUCCUUCUUGGAUUUUGCAAACCGGCUUGGAAAAGGAGGAGGUAUCACAAUAGGUAGGGGUUUCGCUCUGGUGGGUUGUGCAUCUUGAGAUUGAGGCAUCAAUUCAUUCUUCUCAAGCUCAUCUUCUACAUGCUCUGUCACUUUCUUACUAGGCUCUUGCAACUCCUUCCCACUUCUAAGGAUGACAGCACUAACGUUUUGCUUUGGAUUCACCUCAGAUUGUGAAGGCAAUCUCUCUAAUACUUGAGACUCCAGGCGGCUCAUUGUAGUCGCCAAUUGACUCAUUUGGUUCUCCAAGUUCUGAAUGCUUGUUGUAGUUGCCUGCUGAAAUUGUUGAGUGUUAGUCGCAAGCGAUUUAACAAUUUCUUCAAGAGAUAUACCUGACUUGGAGGUUGACUGUGGAGGUGCUGGUUGUCUUGGUGGAUACUGUUGUGGGAAUCCUGACGGCCUAACUCCAUAGCUGAAGUUGGGAUGAUCCUUCCAUCCCGGAUUGUAUGUUUGUGCAUAAGGAUCAUACCUCCUCUGAGGCAUGCCUGGAAAUCCUCCAACUGCAUUGGCUUGUUCAACGGGUUCUUCUUGAAGUGUAGGACACAUAUCAGUUGAAUGACCCAUAUUGUAACAAAUACCACAAGUCUUCACCUGUUGCACAUUACCUACAACAAACUUUUCCACAAGAGAAGUGAGUUUAUCUAAACGUUGUUCAACAGAAGAAAUAUUUACCUCAUUCACCUUCCUUGAAGUGGGAUCUUGCCUGCUGCCAAAUUGUUGUGUGUUGGUAGCCAUAUUUGAUAUCAACUCCCUUGCUUGAGUAGGAGUCUUGUUCACCAACACGCCUCCACUAGCAGCAUCUAUCAUACUUCUAUCCAUCAAUGAUAGUCCUUCGUAAAAAUAUUGAAUAAGAAGUUGAUCAGAAAUCUGAUGCUGAGGACAGCUGGCACACAAUUGUUUGAAUCGCUCCCAAUACUCAUACAAAGUCUCCCCAGGAAGUUGUCUAAUCCCACAAAUGUCUUUUCUGAUGUUGGCAGCUCUUGAAGCAGGAAAGUACUUCUCGAGGAACUGCUUCUUCAAAUCAUUCCACGUUGUAAUCGAUCCAGGAGGCAAGUAAUACAACCAGUCUUUAGCUAGCCCAUCUACAGAGAACGGAAAAGCACGCAGCUUAAUCUGCUCUUCAGUCACGCCUUGUGGUCUCAUACUUGAACACACAACAUGAAACUCCUUGAGAUGUUUAUGAGGAUCUUCACCUGAAAAACCAUGAAACUUGGGUAAUAAAUGAAUAAGACCAGACUUUAAUUCAAAAUUUACCUCCAAGUCUACAUAUUGAAUGCAGAGUGGUUGCUGAUUCAAGUCUGGUUCAGCUAACUCUCUAAGAGUUCUUUCUAUAGGUGCAGGUCUAUCCAUCACUUGUUCUUCCGAAUCGCUAGAUGAUUCAACUAAAUCAGGCACCGUAUCUGUUUCAGAAAGCAAAGGCGACGAGGAUCGUUGCUUAGCUCGCUUCGUCUGUUGUCUCAGCUGGCGAGCUGUCUUCUCAAUUUCAGGAUCAAACGAAAGUGUACCUGUACGAGAAGAACGAACCAUACACCAAGUAAAACGUAAAAAAGAUUAAAUAAAUGACACCAAUCCCCGGCAACGGCGCCAAAAUUUGAUGGGUGUCGAAGCCAACAAAAAUAAAUUCCUACUCUAAAUAAAUUGUGUAUAGUGAUUGAGCAGGGUCGUGUCCACAGAGAUCGGUAAUUAUUUAAAUCCUUUUGAAACGUAAAACGUAAAAUGGGGGAAUUGUUGACAAUAAUAAAAAUAAAAUUAAAAAUAACAAGAAUGCAAAUUAAAGUUGUAAUUCAAAUUGGAGAAAGCUCUGGUUGAAGGAAUUAGCUUAGCUUGAUUCGACUACUGAUCAUUGAUUCAAAUAUAGAUUAUUAUUACUCAUGAAUAGACCGGUUAUAGCUACUAAGACCCUCUAAUAGCCAAUCUCUCCUUAACUAGUCGAUAACCAAGGUACGACCGUUGGUUAUUUCCCUAAUCAAUAGACAACCCUAGAUACGAUCAUAGAAUUUAAUCAAUUGACAGCCUGAAAAACCAGAGAGACCCAAAUCCUAAUCAACACAUAUGAUGAUUCAUUUAAAUUAGAUUGUUUAUUCUCACAACACAACUCUCUGCUAUGUUAUUUGUCACAAACAUUAAAUUCUUCAUACGAUGAAUCCUUUAAUUGACAAUAGAUUAAGUUGAUAAUUAAAUAGUGGCCAAUUACCUAAUUAACAAACAUAAUCAUGAAAAUAAUUCAGAGAAUAAACAAAUACCCAAAAAGUAAUAAAACAAUUAAAGCACAAGAAAGAUCUCACAGUAGUGAUGAAUCAAAGCUUCAUUAACCUUCAACCAGAAAAAUGAGUUUAGUUCCUCAUAGAGAGAAGAGAAAAAUUAGAUCUAGGGUUUCUUUUCCUCCAAUCCAAAAAUCCCCCCUUUUUCACAAUAGAUUCCUCCCUUAAAUACUCUCUCUCUCUUCUUUUUUAGAAUUCUAUUUAAAAUAAAAUACUAAUAUCUGAAAUAUUAAGUUCGUAAUUACAAAAAUAACCAAAAAUACAAAACACGUUAAACUAAAAACUGCAGGUCCACAGUUGACAGCACGCGCCCACGCCUUAUCAACAAAGUUCUUCUGACGCUCAUAAUUUCUCCAAGAGAACAAUCCUCCUUAAACAUCAUCUUUUAGCUCAAUUUUAUCACCAAUCAAUAGAAUUGCACCUACAAAAGUAAAACACAAGUAAAACAUUAUUAUUAAGUGCAAAACAUCGAUAUUAAGGGAAGUAAACAAUGCAAAACUAGUGCAUAAAUUGCACUCUAACAGCUUACAAGUGCUAAGGCCAAAAAAUUAAUCUUGGGGAAGAAUUUAAUGAGUGACUUCUUAUUUUUAUAUCCUUAAAAUUUAUUUUUAAACCCUAGAUUUUGGAGAAAUACUUUUCUUAAGGGCUGGAAGCAAAUGUUUUAGAUUGGAAUUUGAAUGAGUGCAAACUAUGUUAUUGUCAGACAUCAAAAAUCAAAUUAGCAUUUAUUUUCUUGUCUUGUCUUUAGCUCCAUCAAGUUCGUUGAUGCAUGGUCUUUGAAUUUGAAGGUAUUAAAUCCAAAAUGGAUUCUCUCACAUCCAAUAUCAUUUUACUCUUAAAUUUAUCUAGUGAGCAGAUUUUGAUGCUUGAUUCAAGUAGAAAAACAAUUGUGAGGACUGUGAGGAUUUUUUUUUAAAUUAAAAACCGCCUUAAGAUGGGGUGUGGGUUUAGGCGGGACCCCUUCAUUAGUAAAUUAAUAAAAGAAAAGAAAAUUCAUAUGGAGAGAGAUAUAUGCCAAAACCUCGAAGCAUGGAAACAAAUACAUCCAAUAACUAGAAAAAUAACAAAAGCAAUAGAAGAUAGGACUAAUUAAUGCAACCAUCUAGAGAAUCGCUUCCAAUUCCUGCGGCUAGUAACCAAUGUGAAACCUUUCUUAGAAUUGGAGGCACGCGGUCCGGUCCGGCAAUACGAAAGUCAUCAAGAUCAUGCCCUCUAGUACCCUUAGGCUCAAAUGCAAAAUAUUCAUUAGUCACAGGAUUCCCAUCAGAGCUAAACUUCUCAUCAAAUUGAAAAAGGAUAUCUGUAGAAUGGGGAUUGAAGCCCACGAUCAUGGAGCGAAUAUCCUCUUCAGUAGCUCAAAAAAAAGUAGCAUCGAUGGAAGCCCUCUAAACACCUGGAUCAUCUAAAAAAGGAGGGUUAGAGACCUCAGUGCAUCCAGUAGCAUCUCUUAAAGCAGUAGGAUUCUUCAAACCAUCAUCAGUUUGAACUCUUUUCAUAGAAACCAGAUCAAACCCAUCUUCUGUAGUAUCCUGAUAAAUAGGUGACUGAGCAUCUAGAAGAGCACCCUCACUACCAUUCGACCUCAAUGGCUCAACCUCUUUGCCAUCCCCUUUGGAUGCACAAUAGCAUUAGACAUCAGCAUCUUGCCUUUAUCAUGAAGAACAAUAUCCCGCACCUGAUUAACUGGCUGCCAGGGCUCUCAGAGCCCAGGAUUGGCAACAAAAAAAGUAUCAGUAGAGUACCCAAGAUGCUUACACGAAGCAUAGUAUAAAGGAACACGCUCAAAAAUGACAUUCUGCCAGAAAAUGCCAUCACCUUCACUAGUCCAAAGUUUGGGCAACAACGGCCGCAAAACAUCCAACUCAAUCGGAACUCUAGUGAUCGAGGGUUGAUUAACAACAACAGUAGCAUGGUCCAUCCGUAGAGGCUUACCAAUAGCAUUAGCAAUAGAAAAUAAGACAUCUUUGCAAUGAAUAAAAUGCACUUGCAAAUACGGCAAAGAAACUCAAGUAAGAAGAAUAGGAGAUUCCUCAAAGCACCAAAAUGAAGUCUAUGAGACUACGCUACAUGAGACUCAAACACAAAGGCCUAAUUCUUGGUAAGGCUGCCCACCUAAAUCCACUUGGAAAAUGUUCAAACAUACUUUUGAUAAUGUAUUUUAGUCUGUGAGGGUUGACACAAUAGAAUUUGGAUUCGAGAUGUUUACGGUUGCGAAGCUUCUGUAAGUGUUCUUGGUCCAUUGUAAACUCACAUUAUUUUCAUAGUGAAUUGUUUCGUCUACAAGUGGACAUAAUAACAUGUCGAGAUUUUUAUCCUAAAUCGCGAGGAUCAAAGGUUUUCUUGUAAAAACAUCUAUGUGUUGUGGAUGUCCAUUUAUUUUGCAUAUUUAUUUUCAUUACCAUAAAUUGAUUUUUAAAUUUAUUGAUAGUGUUUAUUAAAUUAUCUUUAUUAACUAGGAAAUAAAAUCAUUAAUUUUAAAGAGAUUAUUAUUAUUAUUACCAAGUAUAUAAAGAUAAUGAAAUAAAAAAAUAAAACUAAUAAUAUAAAUAUUUACUUUAGUUAUCAAUUAUUAUAUAUACACACAAUUAAAAAUAUUUUAUAUACAUACAUUAUAAGUAUGAAAAUAAAUUUUAUUCAAAACUAUGUCCAAUUUAAUCAUUUAUAUUCUUGUCAUUUACAAUCUUAUUAUAAUUUAAUAGUAAGAUUUACCAAAUACAUAGAUUGUUUUUUAAACUCACAGAACUUUUGAAAAAUUGUAUCAAACGUUUAAUUGGUUAUCUUUAUAGUUGACUAUUUUUACAGUACAGUUAGCAGUAAUUAUUUUAAAAACUAUAAUAUUAACAAAAUGAUCCAACAUCUUUUAAGGACCCAGCUGAAAUUUAACUAAUACAGGUUUACCAUUACUAUAGAUUGCCGGUAGUUUUAACUAUUUUUAAUUAAUUAUUAAUAUCAACCGUUGGAUUCCAUUCCAUUCUAAUGGAAUCCAAUGGCUUCAGCAUGGGUGAUGGGCAGAGUGGCAUGGACGCGUAAUCAAUUGAAAAGCCAGAUAUUCUUCGCUUAGAUUCCUUGAAGCUUCCAGCAAGCUCGAUGCUAACUCCAUCGUGUGAGUAAUCGAUUGAAAAGCCAGAUAAUUUUCAUUUAGAUUCCUUGAAGCUUCCAGGAAGGUUGAUGGUAACUUCAUCAUUAGAGUAAACAAAGACGAUAUUUUUGAAGCAACAAAUAUGUUUCACUGAUUAACUUAGCUUUCUUUGAAGCAACACUUCAAUGAAAUUCAACAGGUAGCUGCCUGUGCAAUUAAUACACUCAAAGCUUUAAGAUUUAUUUUAAGUUUUAUCUUAUACAUGUUUCUCUCAAAUACAAGCUUUUAGCGCGGCAUGCAAAAUACACCCCGUUUAAAUCUAAUCACACCUCUCUAAUUUUUUUUUUUUUCGCCCCAAAGACGUAAUGGAGUAGUCAAAGGGUAUAACCAUUAGAUUCCUUUCGCUUUUUUGCUUUUUUCACCCCCACUUUCUGAGAAGACCAAGACUUGCUUUUGGAAUACAUAUAAAUAAAUCCGGGGGAGCUGGAAGUUGCAUUUUUGUUUUCCCUUUGAAUCAAAACACUUCAUCGGAGUUGAUCAGAUCAAUUAGGUGGCUUCUUUCAACACACUCAAAGCUGUAAGUUUUAUUUUAUCCUCAGAAUUAAUUUGCACAUUCUGGAUGUUUAGAACAGGAAAUAUAUAAAAUUGAAAGAAAGCUUUGAAUGUUUAAAUUAAUUUGUAUAGUAUCAACUCUUUAAUUUGCUUCUCUUUGAGGCUCUAAUUAAGAUUUGCUUGAGCAAAGGUCGGCAAACACACUCUCCAAUCAGAAUCUGAAAAACUUUUUAAUUAUAUUUUGGAAGUAAAUGAGAGGCUGUUAAUUAGUUUGUUUAGUUAAGAAGAAGAUCAUUAAUUUGUUGUUCAAUAAUUUUAUGCUAAAAGAAAUUAUCAUAGUAAUUAUAUUAUUUUCAUUUUUGUGCUGCCCAUAAUCUUGAAUGAAUCUUAUUGUUUGCAUGGUAUUUUACGCUCACUGGAUUUCACUUGAUUUAUUCUAAAUUUUUAGGAACAAAUUAAUAUAAUGGCUUCCACGAGCUUCCAAAAUGUCUCUCAUGGGGAAUACGAUGCCUUCUUAAGCUUUAGAGGAGAAGACACCCGUAAAAUGUUCAUAGGUCAUCUCUAUACUGCCUUGAACAAUAAAGGAAUUUAUGUAUUCAGGGAUGACAAACAACUUGAGAAAGGAGGAUCCAUUUCACCAAAUCUCCUUAAAGCAAUUGAAGAAUCAAGAAUUUCAAUUAUUGUUCUCUCAAAAAAUUACGCUUCUUCCACUUGGUGCUUGGAUGAACUUCUUAAGAUUGUUGAAUGCAAAAAUAGAGAGGAUCAAAUUUUUCCAAUUUUUUAUGAAGUGGAACCAACUGUUGUAAGAAAACAAACAGCAAGUUUCGGAGAAGCUUUUGCUAAACAUGAAGAAUUUUUCAGGGAUAAUAUAGAAAAAGUGCAAAAGUGGAGACACGCUUUAAAGGUGGUGGCCAAUAUAUCAGGCUGGGAAUUGAAGGAUAGGUAAUCAUUCUUUUUCUCAACUAUUAAUUUUGUUCGUUUUGCAAGAUUAGUAACUACAAAACAGAUUUUAAUAUUCAUUCAACACUGUUUUCAAUUAAACAACUUCUAUUUAAUACAUAUGUAUAUCGUAUGAUGUGUAGUAAAAGGGUUCCUCCCGUGAAUUGAAUAUCUUUAAAAUAUACCUUCACUUUUGAAAACUUCAAUUUACCUCCCAUUUUUGUUAAGAAUACAAAAACAUUUCAUCAACUCACCCCAUUUUUCCUUCUCUUUUGAACAAAAAUAGGGUAAUUGAGGUGUUCAAAAGGGAGUGAUUUGAAGAUAUAUAAAAUUUUGAAAUUACCAAUCACAAUGCAACCCAGUCCAAUCCAAUUUUUAUUGGGUUGGGUUUGAAUUUCUCAUUCCAAUUGUUGUUGACUGAUGUAAUAAUAACAUAUUGUUUAAUUAUAUGACUUCAAUUUGAUGAAAUGAAUAUUGCAUAGUUUGGAUUUUAUUCAUAAUAUGGAAUUGAUUUGUUACUACGUUCAUACUAACUUUGAUUUAACAAUACCAAUCUUUUCUUGUUGUUUUCAAUCUGCAGGAAUGAGUCAGAAUUUAUUGAGGAAAUUGUCAAUGUCAUAUCUAGUAAAAUUCGUUCAGAACCAGAGAUUCUUAAGGAGCUAGUAGGAAUGGAAUCACGCUUGGAGAAACUGAGGUUUCUUAUGGGUACGGGGUCUAAUGAUGUUCGUAUGAUCGGGAUAUGGGGUAUGGGAGGUCUAGGAAAGACAACUCUUGCAAGGGUUGUUUAUGACUUGAUGUCUCAUGAGUUUGAUGGGAGUAGUUUUCUUGCCGAUGUUAGAGAAAAAUUUGAAAAAGAAGGCAGUGAAAUCUCUUUACAAAAACAGCUCCUUUCUGAUUUACUGAAGCUUUCAGAUUAUAGCAUACAGAAUGUCUACGAUGGUAUUAACAUAAUUGGAAGUAGGCUGCAACGGAAAAAAGUUCUUCUCAUAAUUGAUGAUGUGGCUGAUGUUGAACAAUUACAAAGGUUAGUUGGAAGGCGUGAUUGGUUCGGUCCAGGCAGCAGGAUUCUAAUAACAACGAGAGAUAGACAAUUGUUGGUGGCACAUGAAGUGGAUGAAGAGCAUAUUCUUGACCUUGAUGUACUAAAUAACGAUGAAGCUCUUCAACUCUUUAGUAUGAAAGCUUUUAAAAGCCAUCAGCCUAUGGGAGAAUAUGUGGAGCUGUCUAAACGUGUUCUGGAGUAUGCUGGUGGUCUUCCAUUAGCUCUAAAAGUUUUGGGAUCCUUUCUAAUUGGUAGAUCUGCAGAUCUAUGGAGAAGUGCCCUAGAAAGACUAAAAAAAGAUCCUUCAAAUAAGAUUAUGAGUAUACUUCAAAUAAGUUUUGAAGGACUACAAGAUUCAGAGAAGAAAAUAUUUCUCGAUGUUGCAUGUUUCUUUAAAUGGAAGAAUAGAGAUUAUGUAACAAAAAUUCUAGAGGGGUGUUGUUUUUCCCCAGCCAUUGGAAUAGAAGUUCUUAUCGAAAAGUCUCUAUUAACUGUUGAUGACGACAACAUACUGCAUAUGCAUGAUUUGUUACAGAAAUUGGGACAACUGAUUGUUACGAGACAAUCCCCCGAAGAACCUGGGAAACGUAGCAGAUUAUGGAAGAAAGAAGAAGUACGCCAGGUGUUGAUAGAAAACACAGUAAGUGAAUUAUUAAAUGAAAAACUUGUUGAUGCUUGCUACUUUAUUUUCCCCAAUUAUAUCUCUGACCAAAUUUUCAACAUCUUUACAUUAUUGUUUUAUUCACUCAUCCUUUGCUUAUAAUCUUUAGGGAGGUGAAGUAGUGGAAGGAAUAAUAGUUAAUGCCUACUUUCCUGAAGAUGAGGUUUACUUAAGUGCAAGUGCUAAAGCAUUUUCGCAGAUGACCAACCUAAGACUGCUCAAAAUCAGUAAUGUGCAACUUCCUGAAGGUCUAGAAUACCUCUCUAACAGGUUGCGAUUACUUGAUUGGCAUCGGUAUCCUUUGAAAUCUUUGCCAUCAAAUCUGCAAUUGGAUAAAAUUGUUGAAUUUAAAAUGUGUUACAGCCGCAUUGAAGAAUUAUGGAAAGGAUUCAAAGUAAGAUCAAUUUUUUUUUUGUCACAAAUUUAUAUUUUUCAGAGAAUAAUUGUGGAUAACAAUUUUAUUAUUAUAGUAGUAUAUGAAUUAAGAAAUAUCAUUUUAGCUCCUUUUUUGUUUUCAACAACCUUUAAACAUGUUGAGAGUCAUGGAACUCAGCCAUUCAGAGAAUCUGAUUAAGACUCCAGACUUCACAGAGGUCCCAAAUUUGGAGGAGUUGGAUGUUGAAGGAUGUACAAGGUUGCGUGAAAUUCACCAGUCUUUGCUACGUCACAAUAAGCUGAUCUUGUUGAAUUUGAAAGGUUGUACAAGUCUUACAACUCUUCCGGGUGAGAUAUUUAUGAAAUCGCUUAAAACACUUGUUCUUUCUGGUUGCUUGAAAUUGAGGAAACUUCCACGCAUUGUCGGAAGUAUGGAGUGUCUACGGGAACUUCUUUUGGAUGAAACUGAUAUCAAAAAACUGCCUUUAUCUAUUGAGCUUCUAUCCAAACUUGUCUUGUUGAAUUUGAAGGAUUGCAGAAAUCUAGAGACUCUUCCAAUUACUGUAAGCAGCUUAAAAUGUCUAAGAACUCUAAAGCUCUCUGGUUGCUCGAAAAUAGUGAAAUUUCCAGAGACUGUGAUAAGUGUGGAAGAUCUGUCAGAGCUCUUUUUAGAUGGAACUUCUAUCACAGAAGUGCCAUCAUCUAUAGAGCUUUUGACCAAACUUCAAUGGUUGAAUUUGAAUGACUGCAGAAGUCUCGUGAGACUUCCUAGCAGUAUAAAUGGUUUGAAAUCCCUCAAAACUUUGAAUCUCUCAGGCUGCUUCAAACUCGAAAAUGUGCCUGAGACGCUUGGGCAAGUAGAAAGUCUGGAAGAACUUGAUAUAAGUGGUACAGCUAUAAGGCAACCUCCAUCGUCGAUUUUUCUUAUGAAGAAUCUUAAAGAACUAUCUUGUCGUGGGUGCAAAGGAUCACCAUCAUCUGCAUCAUGGUUUCUGCGCUUCCCUGUCAAUUUGAUACGAAGGAGUUCAGAUCCGGUGGCUUUGAGUUUGCCGUCUUCUCUGUCAGGUUUGUGUAGUUUAACGAAAUUGGAUAUCAGUUACUGUGAUCUAGGGGAAGGAGCAAUCCCAAGUAGUAUUGGCGACUUAUGCUCAUUAGAAAAGUUACAUCUGAGUGGAAACAGUUUUGUUUCGCUACCGGCAAGCAUCUACCGUCUUUCUAAUCUUCAGGGGAUUAAAUUAGAGGAAUGCAAAAUGCUUCAAAAUCUGCCUCGACUUCCAGCCAGUAUACGUUGGAUUUCGUUAGACGGUUGUGUUUCGUUGGAAACAUUAUCAGAUGUAUUAAAUUUAAACGAGCAUCGACUCCCGCACUUAGGCCUUCAUUGUGUGGAUUGCUCGAAAUUGGCUGGCAACUAUGAUUUGGCGCUUUCGCUGCUAAAAGAGUACAUUAAAAAUUCUGAGGUCAGUCUCUCACUCUCACCUGUGCUAACAUUAUGCCUAAAACUGAUGCAAUACAUGUUAUGUCUUUUUAUUUUAUUUAUUUACUCACUUUUUUUUUUGUGGGGUUGCAGAAUAUGUCAUUGUCGGACAAGUACAUUAAACUGAGAGAGGUCAGUUUCUUACACUGUCUCUCACCUGUUGCUAAAAUCAUGCCUAAAAAUUAUGCAUUGGUUUGGCUUUCUAAUAUAUAUAUAUAUAUAUAUAUUUGUGGGGUUUAGCAUUGUUGGAGAGGUUUUAGCAUUGUUGUUCCUGGAAGUGAAAUCCCAGAGUGGUUCGAGUAUCAGAAUAAUGAGUGAUAUGCUAUAAGGCAACCUCCAAAGACGUAUAAGAAUAGUAAGCUUGUGGGAUAUGCUAUGUGCUGUGUUUUUCAUGUCCCUAAAUAUUCACUUCCUUAUUAUCAUCCGAACUUUCCAUAUCCCGUACAUUAUCUGUGUGGCUGGCAUACCGACUGGUAUGGUUAUGGAAUUUCGUUUGGAAAGCAAUUCGGUCAGGCUGUGUCGGACCAUCUUUGGCUAUACUACCUGAAUAGGGAAGAGGUGUGGCGAUACUACCAUAAUAUUUAUAAAGUGAAAUUUUCUUCGCCGUCGGUAUUGGUGCUGAAGAGGUGUGGUGUCCAUCCAAUUUAUGUGCAUCAAGGGGAUAAGUUCAACCAAACAACUGAUCCGGUUUGGAAUUUGAACGAAUUUGGUCACGAUUGUUCAGGAUCAACAUCCUUUACGCGUAGCCUUAAUGAUGACUUAGACAGGGCAGAAGGCAGUGGAAGUUGCUGCGGGGAUGAUGCAGGAUCAACAACGUCGUCUGAGCGAAGCUUUCUAAAGCGAAGUCUUGAAGAAUAUGUUGGGGCGGCUGAAGCUAGUGGAAGUGGCUGCUGUAAUGAUGAUGAGGAACCACAACCUAAAAGAUUUAGACAACUUGAAUGAAGGGCACAUAUUUUAUUUUUCUCUGCAGAUCGCAUUUCAUUUACUUUCUUUGUAUUUAUUUAUUGUAUCUGUUCUUGUUACUUAUUUCCCUGUUAAAUUACCAGAAAAUGCCUGGCUUGGGUCAAACAGUUGGACAGAUGUUUUAUUACUCUGUUUUUCCUGCAAAAGAUGCCGUACAUAGAUGCGGUGAGCGCGAGUUGUUUGGUAUACUUGAAGGGGCUCGG
rnacentral:lncRNA from 1 species